rnacentral:lncRNA from 1 species
GAAUUUAUUGAAAAUUAGAGAAUCUCGUGAUACCAACAAAAUAUCAAGCUUAUUCAACUUUUAUUCCCUUGAUACGCUAUUUAUGUAGCACAAUUUACAAAAUUCCACAAAAACCACUUCACCAGAUUCCUGCCACACCUUUCAUUCUCUUAUUCUCAGCAAAUACAAGAACAGCUACGCUCACCAGCCCCACAAACUUUACUCCAAACACAGAGUGACCCAAAAAAAAAAAAAAAACCACCGAUGACGUGCUAAUUCGAUGUUGUUGAUUUUGUGCGUACAAAGUCCAAAUCAACAUUAAUGACGUCAUAUAUGGCGUGCUAAAAGUUGUUCAUGAGUUGAAUUUUUGCAAUUACGUGCCCAAUGAAUUUUGACGCUCUUGAGUGGGAAAUCACUAAAUUGUUAACUUUUUUCCAAAUGCCUGACGGGUUUCAUAGGAUUGGUUUGGCGAGUAGAGAUAAAAAGUUAGCACGCAAGUAAUUUAAAAGCACGGUGUAAAUUUGAUUCUCCCAAUCAAUGAGCGUAAACGAAACAUGGGGGCGAAAAAGGUUGUUACCAGCAUUGAAAAAGUGGACUUUUGAGAAGCUCCAAUCACUGAAAUGUUGCGUAUUCGGCAAAAUGCAAGUAAGUCUAGUCAUCGAGAGUUAGUAUUUAGAGAAAUGCAUAAACAGAUAUUUAAUCAAUAGAUACGUUUAGAAAAAUGUCAUACAUAGCUUUUUUAGCUCAGUUAUAUAGAGCUUACUUUAGUAAGCAAGAGGUCUUGACUUUGAUUCUCAACGAGAUCCUUUGUCUUUUGACUUGUAAUAUUUCCUUUUUUCACAUUCAAUCUUCUUCCUAACAAUUUUUUUGAAAAAUUCAAUCGAGCCAAAAAAUGAAUUGCUUAAUAAAUGAUAGAGCCAACAUAUAUACAUACUAUAUAUGUGUUUUUUCUCAGUACAAAUGGUUAUACGAGGACCCAAUUAGUAAGAGGGAGGUCUUGAAUUUGACUCUCAACAAGAGCAUUUGUCAUUCAAACUUUUUCAUAACAAUUUUUUUACUAAAGAAAAAAAUCGAUUGAGCCAAAGAAAUUGUCACUUAAUACAUCAUAAAGCCAGCAUACACAUAUAAUUCAUUUUUCUCAGUACAAAUGGGUAUACAAGCACCCAUUUAGUAAGUGGGAGGUUUUAAGUUCGACUUUCAAUGAGAGCAUUUAUCUUCUUACUUAUAAUUUUUCCUUUUUGUAAAUUCAAACUUCUUCAUAAUAAUUUUUUUAAGAUAAAAAACCACCAAAAACCUCAAACUUUGCCCAAAGUGACAAAUUUACCCCAAUCUUUGUAUUAUGAUAUGAAAAAUCCCAAAUUUUGCCAACUGUGACAUAUUUACCCCAAACUUUUUUUCAUGACACAAAAAAUUCUGAACUUGUAUUCAUGUGACACAUUUACCCUAAACUAUAAGGCAUUUUGUCUUUUACUUUUUAAAAUCUUUUCUUUUUCUUUUUUUCUUCUUCUUCUCUCUUCCCUCCGCCAGCCAUGGCAGAGCCGGUGGAGGAAGCCAUAGUUAGGCGAGGGCUACCUUCACCGCCGUUAGGCGAGGGUUGCCCUCGGUUAGGCUAGCUAGGGCUGCCCGACGCCAACGAGGGAGGUCCUCGCCCGACCCAACCGAGGGCAGCCCUCGCUUGAUGCCACCGAGUGCAACCCUCACCUAACUCCAACUUCCCUCCGCCAUGGCUGGCGAAGGGAAGAGAGAAGAAGAAAAAAAAAAAGAAAAAAAAAAAGAAUAAGACGAAAAUGCUAUUGGUGGGGUAAAUGUGUUACGGUUUUCAAAAUUUAUGGUUUUUUAUGUCACAAAAGAAUGUGUAGGAUAAAUUUGUCACUUUAGGCAAAGUUAGGGUUUUUGGUGGUCUUUUUCCUUUCGAUCGAGACAUAAAAAAAGUCACUUAAUACAACAUAGAGCCAACAUAUAUAAUAUAUUUUGUUCCUUUUUCUUGGUAUAAAUGAGAUACCAGCACUCGUUUAGCAAAGCCAAAGUCUUGAUUCCGACUCUCGAUGAGAGCACUUGUCUCGUGACUUAUAAUCUUUCUUUCUUCUACAUUCGAACUUUUCCGUAACAAAUUUCUUGACAAACAUUCAAAUUUAUGUCUUCUUGAUGCCGUUAUAAUAAGGGAUACGGAACUCUAGUGUGAAUGGAACUCAUUGCUGUGAUGCUAAAGGGAAGGCGAUGCUGACGAAUCCUACAGGAAUAUGCGGGGGACGGAAAAUCUUAGAGCUGGCGGUUAGAUCUGGCUGAGGUUACCAAGGGUUGAUUCUUGCUUAUCGCCCCGGAACUGACUUACCCAGGUCAUGCUCAGCCCUCACCCUUAGAAAAAGGAACUCAAGAAAAAAAAUUCAGUCACUGCUCCAUAAUGAUUAAUGUCCAUCAUAGUUCAAGUAAGGAGAUAUAAGCAAACGUUCAAACAAUAAAAUAAAUAGAUCGACAAAAUAAAUUGGAUACCAGACUUAUAUAAUUCAAUCGCAGUGACCUACCUCUAUAAGAAAAGUAAUAACGAAUUUUAUUGUAGAUCAAACAAUAUAACGGAAAUUAUAACCACAGUCGAGUUACUUUAAUACUUUUAGUGUUUUCUAAUUCCUAAUUACAUUCAAUAACUCAAGUAAUAUAUAACCUCACAAUUUCUGACUAAAUAAUCCUUUAAUCUCAAGAAGAAAUUAACAAAUCACGAAUUAAACCCUAAUUUCGCUAUAUGUAAUUCACGGAGAAUAUCCAAUGUCAAGCACGCCAACGGCACUACUUGCGGCUGAAAAACCCGUGAUAAAGUCACCUCUCCGCACUAACAAGAGAGAGAGAGAGAGAGAGAGAAUGUGUGCAUCUGUCUUUUUCCUUCGGCAUUUUUGGCGGCUUCUUGCGUGGCAGUCAUCUAAGUGACCGGUGAGAAGUUUCUGAAAGACCGAUAAAAAAAAGGGAGAAGAAGAAGAAUAAUACUUUCUAAAAGAGAGAGAACAAUCAAUAUUGACAGUGCGCUGUUCGGGGUACAAAGCAAUGAUUUCAUCAUUCUUGAUUAGGGUUUUGAAAAUAUGGCUUUUCAAUCCGUUUCAUAUAUUCUCCCGUUCCCUUUUGGGAGUAGUCGUGCACUACUCCCCGCUCCCUUCUCUCUCUCAACUGUCGUCUAGUUGAACAAUUUUGAAAAGUCCCGACGCGUGCUUUUGCUGUCUGUCCCUCCUUCCUGCCUCAGAAUCUUGAAACGGUGCCGAUGCGGACCUCUUCCUCCUGCCUCAGUUUCUUUGAAUAUAAUUAGCCCGUUUCACUGUGUUUGCAAGUGGGGAUUGGAGUGCGUUCCCCUUGUAUAUGCGCGCGCCCAUCAACCAACCCCCCCUCCAACCAAUCCAAUCAAAUCUCACUCCAAUCCACUAUUGUCCUUUGGAUUAAUCACCACGGAAAGCGCCGAUUUCACAAGACCGUCGCACCGAAUUCCCGCCCUACCCUUCGGCACCUUCUCAGUAAAAAGACGAGGAGAAAAGCUCACCAUCGGACUUUAUUUGAGCCCGUAUACAGGGCCCGACUUAAUUUGAGGACGUGCAUCAGUUUGUUGAACCCGAUCUAUUAGGGAAAAAAAAAAUACCAAUAUCACACUUUCAUAUUUAAAUUAGAAUUUAUCUUGAACAGAAUAUUUACAUGAGGAGUUUUGUAAGCAUAGCAGUUUUUAAGUUAUUAUGAAAAUAAUAUCAACUGCAAAUUCUUGAAAAAGUGGGUUUCAUAACAAUAUAUAAUUAUUUAUUUUUAUGUAUCAUAGUAUACUGUUAUUCUCAUAUUAAAUUAAAAACGGUCGUUCAAUUAUUUAUCUUCACAUGAGGCGAGUAUUUGGUCUUUGGAGAAAUCUCUGGUGGUCAUGAAAAGUGCGAAUCCAUUAUACUCAGAUUCUUUUUCUUCUCUCUUUUUUAUCUGGCCAAUUGAAAAGUUGGACAAAGCCGCGUCUCAGUGGGUUCUGUUUGUUACUCCAGCCGCGCACAGCCAAGGGAUUUCACGUGCCGCACAGUAGGUUUCGUUUCGUGGGAGCAACACCGUGUGAUUUUCACGCGCCGCUCAGUGUUUACGCUGUAGGAAUCUGGGUCGAACGAAUUAUACUGAAGUGAUUUGAAAAAAUUAAGAUGCCGCGAUUUUUAUAAGAUGUUUCACAAGCAUCUUUAAUUACAGCAUUCAGAAUUUCUACCACCUCGACAGUUGUCUCACCCACUUCGAAGGCGUCGCAUCUAUUACUGCAGACGAAAAUUAUAACACUUUACCUCAAAACGGAUUCAUAGUUCAUUCACGAUUAUUAUUCAUCUUCAAGAGACGUGAGAAUGUAGACAUAAACAUGGUGGGAGACAGAAAGAUUGAGCCGACACGCAACAUCAACAACUCAAUUGUGAGCAUCGGGGUUUCGCAAGAGAUGGGCGUCGAUGGCCUUGAACAUUUCCAUGGCCCUUCUGUCUUUGCCGGCCGUGAUCUGCUCCUCCGUGAUCUCGGCCCCGUCCUUGGCAUAGUACUUGCUCGAGCUCUUGCACACGCGCCCUCCUUCUGGACCUCACCUCGAACUUGAUCUCGUACGAGAUCUUCUCGAGCCCAUCGCCCUCAACAGUGGUGCACACGAACGUGAGCGAGCUUCCCCUUGUUCAGUUCGUCGACCCGGUGCUUCGCCGAGUUGAGCUGGCUAGCUGCAAGACACAGAAAACCACAAUCAACUCCUAAACUUCGGUGAAUGUCUUGAGACCCAUGUUAAUGCGGUGCGAUAAAAAUGUGCAAAGUGGGUGAAGUUAAAAGAUGCACGAGGACUCGCCUUCCCCGAAAGCAACUUGCUUGAUGAUUGAAAUGCCCUCUAAAUGAUUCUCAGUCGCCUGUUUAGUAAUCUAAAUCGCCAUCACAAUAGUCUAAAUCGUAUAAUAGAGAAAGAGUACUAAAGACAUGGAUCUCAAGCCCAAAUGAUACUUAUUAGCAUGCGAGUGAUCAUCUGAAUUUCGAUGCUCUUGAGGGUGGGAAGUCACUAAAUUAUUAACUUUUUUCCAACACCAGUCGAGUUCCAUGGGAUUGUUUCCGCUAUUAGAGAUAAAAAGUUAGCAUGCAAGUAAUUUAAAAGCACAGUAUAAAUUCGGUUCUCCCAAUCAACGAGUAUAAACGAGAAUAUGGGGGCGAAAAAAUUGUUGCAAGAACUAAAACGUGGACUUUUCGAGAAGCUCCAAUAACAGAAAUGUCGCAUAUUCGGCAAGAUGCAAGUACGUCCAUCCAUCGAGACUUAGUUUUUGGAGAAAUGCACAAACAUAUAUUGAAUGAAUAAAAACGUUUAGAAAAAUGUCAUAAAAACGUAAGCGAGAGGUCUUGACUUUGAAUCUCAACGAGAUCCUUUGUAUUAUGACUCGUAAUAUUUAUUUAUUUUUUACACCCAAUCUACUUCGUAACAAUUUUUUUGAUAAACAAAACUUCAACCGAGCCAAAAAAAUUAGUCACUUCAUAUAUAUGUGCACCCGUGUGUAUGUGUUCUUUUGUUGGUACAAAUGGUUAUGCAGGCACUCAAUUAGUAAGCGGGAGGUCUUGAGUUUGACGCUCAACGAGAGCAUUUGUCUUAUGACAUUCAAACUUUUUCAUAACAAUUUUUUUCAUAAACAAAAAAUUCAAUUGAACCAAAAAGUUUGUCACUUAAUACAUCAUAAAACCAACAUAAACAUAUAAUUCACUUUUCUAAGUACAAAUGGGUAUACGAGCACCUGUUUAGUAAGAGGGAGGUUUUGAACUCGACUCUCAACGAGAGUAUUUGUCUCCUAACUUAUAAUCUUUCUUUUCUUUCUUUUCUUUUUUUCUACAUUCAAAUUUCUUCAUAACAAAUUCUUUUAUGAAAAAAAAAAUCGAUCAAGCCAAAAAAUUUGUCACUUGAAACGUCAUAGAGACAACAUAUACAUAUAAUAUAUUACGUUCCUUUUUCUCGAUACAAAUGGGAUAGGAGCACCUGUUUAGCAAUCCGGAGUCUUAAGUCCAACUCUCAACGACAACAUUUGUCUCGUGACUUAUAAUUUUUCUUCUUUCUACAUUCAAACUCUUUCGUAACUAAUUUUUUGAUAAGAAUUCAAACUUCUGUCUUCUUGCUGCUGUUAUAAUCAGGGAUAAGGAACUCUAGUGUGAAUGGAACUCAUUGCGGUGAUGCUAAAGGGAAGUUGAUGUGACGAAUCUUACUGGAAUGUGCGGAGGAAGGAAAAUCUUAAAGCUGGUGGUUAGAUCUGGCUGAGUUACCAAGGGUUGAUUCUUGGUUAUUGCUCCGGAACUGACUAACCCGGGCCAUACUCAGUCCUCACCCUUAGAAAAGGGAACUCUAGAAAAAAAUUUAGUCAAUGCUCCAUAAUAACUAAUGUUCUUCAUUGUUCAAGCAAAGAUACAUUUUUAUGCUUCUCACGUUCUAUAAUUUUAAGGAAGGGCCAAGGUGGAAAUCUUAUUUUGUAAUUAACAGUCUGCUAUCGAGUUCUUUUAAUUCUGUACUGUUCUUCUUUUAGCAUCAAGGUACCUGGAGAUAUUAACUUGCCUGAUUUCCUCCCUUGUUUCAUUCCAUUGUCAGUGUUUUUUAUGAUUUCGAUUGGCUUUUUUAAGCUUUACAAGUAGAUAAGGGAGUUAAUUAUUUGUCUAGGGCCUACUUAAACAGGCUUACCACGUAAGAAGCAAUAUCCCUCGUUUUGUUUUUGCUCUAAAAGGUUCCGAUGAGGAGCAUUCGGUUGUCGUUAGGGUUCGGCUUGGAAGUCCCUUGAGAAAGCAAUGGGGAGUUUUCGCAAAGACCAGUCAAUCGAGGAUGUAUAGCUCUAUGAUGAUGAAGGCCCCGGCAAAGGACCACCAGGGGGUGCUGGAGGUAGUGGUGGCAGCGGUGGUGGUCCUGGUGGAACUGUCGAUGAAGGUUUUGCCUGGAUCAUGGAUGAAACGCCGCAAGAAGUUUUGGCAACACUUGGCUUUAUAGUUCUGGCAUAGUAUCUCCUUGGAUAUCGUUAAAUUUUAGCUGUCAAAGUACGAAAUUUAUGCUCCUUUUCUUCUUCUUUUUUUUCGGUAAUGAAUUACUGGGACAUUCUAUAAGAAGUGUUAGUAUAUAUCGCGCUUAAUGACAUCCUGCAAGAAGCAACUCAGUUAAUUAAACUAAGCUUAAGAUAAUCCAAUCCUGUAAGCGUAAGCCUGCUUGAUGUACUCAAACAAACAUCUUACGUAACAAAUAAUGAGGGGGUAGUUAAGGGGGACAAAUGUUGGUACAUCUACGGAUUGGCAGCUGCAGCAAUAGUUGGGGUAUAUGAGGGGUACUCAUGGUAAUGCUGCUAGCAGGUGAUGUAAUGGUAACGGCGGUCAUGAAGAAAUUGUGCCAGAGGAGGAUGUUAUCUACUUGGAAUUUCAGUCUUGCUUAAGUACUAAGGUGGUGGUCGCAGCGGGGUAGGAGUCAAAGGAAAUGCUAGCGAGUACCGAUGAAGUAGGUAGAAUCGGUCGUUAGUGGUUUGUUUAGUAGAGUGAGAGUGCAUGUGGCCCUGUCGGAUCUGGUGGUUGUAGUGUCAAUUUAGAGGUGGUGCGGGUAAUGAUGGUAGACAGAGGGAAUCGUGUCUACACAAAAAUGUGUGCUUUGACAUGUUGAUAUUGAUAAAUCUCAUUUUUUCGAAGGUCUCUAUUCACCAUCUCAUUAAUGCUUUAGCGACAGUCCAAAUUUACUUUUCAAAUAAUAUCAGAUAUAUUGAGAUUCGUUUCUUCAGUGGAAGAAAAAGAAACCCCUCAAUUACAUUGACCCUUGAUUAAAUUGAUAUAAGUGAAGUUGUAGAUUGUAAUUGGAUCUUGAAUAUGGACCACCUGUUGGAAAGGUCUAUUUGCAGUCGACUAUGUCAGUUAUUAUACCAAAUUUAAUAGAUCGUUUUAGUGUAGCAUUACUAUUUACAUUUCAGAUGAUAAACCACAAAUCCUCUAACGGGUGUCUAUAGUCUGUACACUACGUUUUUCUAAUGCUGCAUCAUGGUGCCUGCAUAAGUUCAUGUGAUAUCAUUACUGUCGUACACAUAAUGGUUGGUUUAUAUUUCUAUGCUUUUGUUCUAUCCGAUGUCAUUUCUUAUCACACAAUUGUCAACAACCUGAUUUGACCAUUCAAUGCAGUAUAUCUAUAUAAUAUCUGGAGAGGAGCUAUUUCGGCUUGCUAAGGAUUACAGCACGUAUCUUCUCGAAGGAAGUCAGAGCGUUAGGUUAACACGUCUGAUGCAUCAGGAGGGAGGAUUUUAUAAGAAGCUAACAGAGAAGAAAGAGAUUGAUCAGUGUUGGUUAGAGAAGGCGAUAAUUAAUACCCCGACCUGGUGGGACAGUCCUGAGAAGUAGAGGCGCAUCGUGAGACCAUCUGAAGAAGUUUCUUACCCUUCUUCCAGCUAUGACGAUGAACUCUGAACAAUUUAUCUCCGUCUUGCCAAGUCACUUUAGAUGGAAAGGUGAUAUCAUUCCAUGCUUCUAGAUUUGCAGUGAUCCGAAGCUCGAUCUUGGUAGAUGAUGAGAAAGCCAUCUUCUGUAGUUGCUACACCACCUGCCAUGGAGAUUUUUGUGCAAAAUUUCACAAGAACAAGGUCAGAUGCAUGAAGGAUUGAAGUCUAUGUCAUUCUGUUUUGUUGCAAUAUAAAUGACAUGAGUUCAAGUUGAUUCAAAGCGUUAAGAGCAAUUGGGACUUGAUAGGCUGCUUCAUGAGGACUUCUUCAUUCCAACUUUUUCUCCCCCUUUUGAUUCGUUUUCAUUUCUGCUAUUGAUUUUGUCAUUAUCAGCUUGGGUUGCUACCUAAUAGGCUGAAGUUUUGUAACAUUUGAUAUGAUAUGCAGAUACACAUUGCUUGUGUAUAUCUCGAAAAUUCCUACCCUCGGACACUGCUUUGGCUAGCUUCUAAAAAAUGCCGUUCUGUUUGCCCUUCUCUGUCCCUUCUUUUGCCCAGAUGAACAACAACCCUCAGGCCGCCACAUGACCAGCAUAUACGCUAGUGAAAUGCACAAUUUUUUUUAUUUUCUAAUUUGUGGGAAGAAGACCCUUUCUUGUGACAAAAGCCCGGUGGAUGAUGAGAAAGUCAUUUUAUUUUUAUUUUUCCUCUUCUCGAUCGCCCGAAGCAUGAGAAAAGAUACAAGGAGAGAGCACAUGAAAUGAUAACACCAUGCAUAGAAAAAAAAAAAUAGGAAUAAGAAGUAGGGGCCAAAUCAUUGCAGGUCACGAAUCGGGGUACCUAAGUAGGGAGAGGGCAGUUGUGGCAGGCUCUCUCAGAUGGUUUCAGAGGUGACUUUCUUUUGGGGUUUUUGGAUCUUGGUUUUUGGUGGGGGCACUCUUUCAUGUGCUCUCUAUCUAUCUCCCCCAAACUCCCCAAACCCCCCCUAGAAAAAAAAAAAUUACCAAUUAUUGACACCUAAAUUUUGGCAACUUAUUUAGAUAUUUAUCGUAUUAAAAAAUUAAAAAUUAAUUUUAUCCCUGAAAAAAUAAAAUCACAUGGCAUAUAGUUUAGGAACAUUUUUGUUUAUUUUAUUGGACUGACGGUGAGUACAAAAUUUUUCACAUAUUCCGUUGAGAUUUUCAUAUAUUUAGACAAUAUACAGUAAGUGAUGUAUUUUUUAUGAAAAUGAAAUUUUCGAAUGAAAUAUUGAAAAAAAAAUACAAAAAAUAUUGUGCCUGGUGGGAUGAUAAGCAAAGUUGACAAUAAAAUAUAUCACGGAGAUAUAAUUUUUCGGUGUAUAAAAGGAGUCGGGUACGGUGGGGAGCAAAGGAGGCCACACAAUUGACUACACGGCCGCAUAGAGACUUCUCCUAGGGUUUCAAGAGGAGAGAGAAAAAAAAAGAGAAAAAGCUUCGGGGUUUCUCCAUUCGUUCCGUAAAAAAAUGGAGGAGGAGAAAAGCUUAUUGGGAAAGGGGAAAAGUCAACAGAAGCUUUUUGCUUCUGCAGAUACAGAGAACAGAACAACACAGCAGGGAGAUUGAGAUUGACGUGAGGGACGUCGAUCAACAGGAAAAAAUAAGAAGAAAAAAGGGUGCUCCUGUUCCUGUUCAUCUUCCCCACCACGCUUUCCCUGAUUCUCGCCGGCGCAGCAGCAGCCGGGUCAACGCUUCCGCCGGCUUUUCUCCCGCUCGCGCCACCGUCGUGGCGCCUCAGCCGAUCUCCCUCGCUGCACGAAGCCCGCCGUCGUUAUCGUCACUCCGAGCAUCCCUCCGCGACGCCCGAGCCGCUCCGCCGCUUCCUCAUCAGCUCUGUACUCAAUCGCUCCACCCACGACGCUCCUGCUCCGACGCCCAGCGAAUCUGCCCCGGACCCACGAAGCUGUCGCUGUCCCAUCUCGCCGGGAUUCCCGCCUGCGAGCCCGCAUCCCUGCACCGCGCCGCACCACCACCCGCGCCUUGCUCCGCUUCUGCAGUAGAUCCCGCAUCCUGCAGCAAAGUCCGAGUCGCCCUGCUACACCUUCAACCCGCCGGUCCGCGACUCCCCUGUUGUCGAGCUUUCCUUCACCAGCCCUCCGAGUGACGCUCGUAGCAACCCGACGUCGCAGCUCCUGCUCCGCCCUCUUCCCGAGCCCGAGCAAAGACGCCUCUGCUCCGACGCCGCAAACACCUGACGUCGUCGCUGCUCCUGUUCGCCUCAGUAGCACUGCUCAACGAUCAGAGUAGACCACCGCCACCAGCGACGACGGCUGCUUCGAACCGCUGCUUCGCCGGCCACGAGCACCGCCACUUGACUCCUCGUGACAACCCGACGCCCGCGCCUUCCCCACCGUGCUGCUCUGCUGUAUCCGACCCGAUGCACGCCCGAGCGACGAACCAGCUGCGGCUUGCUCCCAAACGCCGAACAGCAGCCCCCCUGCCCGCUGGUUAAUGUUGCUGCCGCCGGUCCGCCCGUCGCCCUCGCCGGAGCUCCGAACGGCAACCCAUCUAGCCGCUGGCUGACUUUAGUUUAGGAGGCAAUUAAGGUAGAUUUCUUAUUUUAUUUGAUUUUUAUUCAUUUAUUUAUUUAGUUUUUAUUGUUCAUUUUUUUUCUUUAUUUGAUGAUGAGAUGUUUGAUAUAAAACAGCCUGUGAAAGAUAGUCCGAUUUUCGCGUCCGAAAUCCGACUCGCAAUCACAAUCGCUUGAAAAAUCGUCAAUCCGAUCUCCCGCCCAAGAUUUGAUUCGUGAUUUAUUUAAAAAUUGGCCAACCCGAUCUCAUACGCGAGAUAUGGUUCGCCGGUUUGUAGAUAUCGAUCAUAUCUUAUCUCAUUUGUCGUCAUGUUAAUUGAAUCAAUUUUAUUUUGUUAAAUAAAAAAAUCAAAAAAAGAAAUAUCUGAGUUAGGAUUAGAUCUGUUUUAGAAUAUUCCUUGUUAUCUUACAUAUUUAGAAUAGAGAUUUUAUUUCGAAUUUCAAAAAUAAAAAAUCAAAUCAAUCAAUUCAAGUUGCUAGUGUUUUUUUUACUUAGGUUGCAUGUUUAAUAAUUUGACAAUUCUUAAUUUCGAAUUUCACAAAGAAAAACACAAAAGAAUCAUCAUGCAUAUAUCAUGUAGAGUUAGGGCAUAUUUUUGUACGUCAUUGCAUAUUAUGGUAAAAUUGCACUUAGUUUAAUUUUAGAUAAUAUUUUUCUUAAUUUAUUAUAAGUUUAAAUAUUAGAUAGAUUGCAUUCUAGGAUUAUUUGGGUUAAGAUAAUAUUUUAGUUUAAAUUAGGAUUUGGUUCAACCUAAUUCUUGAUACAAAUUGAAUAGAAUCUUAAUCUAGUUAGAUAAUUUUCACAUUUUAUUUAAUCCCGAAUUUUAUAAAAAAUACACAAAAUGUCAUAAGUCGAACUAGUUUUAGGAUAAAAUGCAUUCUUUAGGAAAAAUGAAAAAAAAUGCCAUACGCACGUCAUUAGGGUUAGAUUCAUUGAGAUGCAUGUCAUUUAGUAUUUUUGCUAGGCCCAUUUAAUUAGAAAUUACAUGUCAUUAGAAUUAGGUCAUUUAGUUAAUAUUGCAUUGCAUAUUGCAUGAUUUUCAUUAAAAAAGUGAAAACAAAAAAAGAAAUUGCGUGUUAAUUAGAAAUCAUAUUUAGAAUUAUUGAUAUGGAUUUUAAAUUAAUAUUGCAGAUACUUUCGUUGCUUUGAGGUAACUUUUUGCAAUUUAUUUAUUUUUUAUUUGGGUGUUAAAUUGGUGGAUUGUGCACCCAUAUGACCACCUCACAUAUUAGAGAAAUAAAUUUAAAAUUAAUCCAAACUGCUUGCCAAACAUUUUUCAAAAAAAAAAAAAAAAAAGGUACCGAAAGGGCGUUAGAGAAUUCUAACAUAACCAAGUCCCCGUACGCAUAGUCUCUGGUUCGUAGGAGUAAAAUAAUUCUCCCGUUAUUUUAUUUGGGUUUCUAAGUGGCGACUCCUAAUUGAAAAUCAAUUGCAUGUUAAGAACUUGAAUCUAAGUCGCGAAUUGAUAUGGGCUUGGGAGAACCCGAGUUAAAUCUAGGCUUAACAAUCCAUUAAUCAAACCCUAGGUGGUUCACACCCGAAAAAUUGGUCGCGAUACCAAUACUCAAUUUCUAGAGAGAGAUAGAUGGGUUAUAUAUAUAUAUAUAUAUAUAUAUAUAUAUGGGGGAAUUAUGAUGGAAAUGGGGUUUUGGGGUAGAGAGAGAGAGAGGGAAAGAAUGAGAUGCGAUGGUGGGUUGUUCACAAUUUUUCCCAAAAUAAGGGACUGUGCCUGUGAGAGCAUGGAGAAGAGGUGCUUCCAAUUUUGCCCAGAGAAGGGCUGUACUCGCCGAAAUCACGUGGUAUGCCCGGCGGUCUACUGUAAGACAGCAAGGCGAGAGAUGGUCUCACGAGAAAAUAGUGUACACAAGUGAUGCUACGUCACGGCCUUUUCCUUCCCAGCCUUGAUCUCCUCUUCUUCAAUUUGAAGUGCCCCCUUGCUGUUGUACUUGCUGUCAUCUUGAAAAGCGACACUCCGUCGCUGGCAGCCUCAAACUUGACCUCUUAAUCGACCGAUUCGAGCUUGUCACCCAGCACGUCGCCCUUGAUCAUUGUGUACCUACACACGAAUUUCUCCUUGUUGAGCUCAUCGUUCCAGUGCCUCACAUACUUGAAAUGACUAGCUGCAUUUGUUACCGAGCGAGAAAUAAUUUCACUAAACUCAUCACUAGACAGAGGACCCAAAAAAUGGUGUAUACUGAGUGUACAAACCUUCAGUGAAAUUAUCUUACCUCGAUGCUCCCGCCUCCUCUGUCGCCUUGCAUGAGCUCCAUGAUCUUUUUGAACUGAGGCAGGAGCUUCGGGAUCAGGGUAUUCGACUCGAUGAUCAGGCCUUGAACAUGCGAGUUAGAGCGAUCAGGCAUGUGGGCUCUUGUGUGAUGAUGGUUGCACCCAUGGCUAUUAGCAAUGAUAAGGAAAUAAACCCAGAGGAAGUGAUAUGCUUCUGAGUCCUGUCAAUGCCUCCCAUUCAUGAUUAGAAUUAUGCGAAUAGGUAGGGUUGGUUUGGCAAGAGUCAAGGAUUUGCAGCCUAAAGGAAUGUCAAAGGGGGAUUAAGUCUCUCUUUUGUUCUUUUGGUCAUGAAAAUGAUUUCGGUCCCUUUUAAAUUCAAGUUGAAAUGUCAAAGAUUAUGGUCCAAAAGAUGGACAACAGAGAGAGCACAUUCUCAUGCUCACAUGGGCGGCCAUCCUUUUGAAUUGAUCGUUGCAGCAUUGGAUCUAACAACAAUUUGGUGGUACUACAUGACAAUGUGCCAAUUAGAUAUUAUGAUAAAAUGCCAUUGUUUGGAGAAAAGUGUAUUAAUCAAAUUUUAUCUCAUUAUUAUGCAACAAACAAGAAUACUUGAUUGGUUAAUGAUAUCAUAUGAUAUAAGCAUCAUAUAAUAUAUUUCUCCAUAAGCAACGCUCUAAUGUCACGGUAGAUCUGUUCAAAUGUAUGAAGUGAGGCAUUUUGAAAAUUUUCAUGAAAAACAAGUUUGGUUAAGGUUGAUACAAACUUCACUAGCACCAACAGUUUGACUCGGUCAAAAGUGGGUCGGCAAUGGGUUGUCCCACUAUCAGCUCAUCGUCUAAGUUUGGGGGAGGUGGAGGUUGCUGUUUUUCGUUAUAUUUUGCUUCUCUUUUUCUUUUUUUGUCAUUAUCAGUGCUAAAGCAUUUGAUCUCUAAUCCAAUGCCACUAUCAAGAGAUAAGAUCGGAUUCGCUUAGAUAGAAUUUCAAAUAGUCCAAGUGUUAUAGAAGGAAAAAUUACCAAAAAUGUCAUAAACAUAUUACAAUUAUACCAAUUUAAUCAUAAACUUUUUUUUGAUCAAUUGAAUUAUAAAAAUUUCUAAUUAUGUUACUUACAAAAAAAAAACAUUUCUAACUAUGUCAGUUUAGUCCAUCCGAUCAAAAUUGACCGAUCGGUGCAAAUGUGGCCGCCGGCCAACGCCCCCAACCAAUUUUUAAUAAUAUUUUAUAUUUCAAAUUUUUUAUUAAUUUUUUUCUUUUUUCUUUCUCUUUUUUUUUUUCCCUUCUCCCUUCUCCUCCCUCCUUCUCCCUUUUGGCUCCAGCGACUGGCCAGAGGGGAGGGCUAGUGGGUCGUUGGACUCAGGCUACCAAGCAAGCUCGCCUCACCAAACCAAGCAACAAUGAAGCCCCCCUCACCGAAUCUAGCGUGGGCUCGCCUCCCAAAUCCGAGGAGGGGGGGGGGGGGGGGCACUCGCCUCGCCAAUUGUGACAUCCCGAUUUUCCAAUUCUGGUUUCAAUUAAAUAAGUCGGGCAUUUCAUCUUCGCGUCUAUAGCUUUCUUCUCUGAGCUGAUCACUCACGAGAUAACUAGUCUAUCAGGUGAAGCCGUUAAAGAAUCUAAACGCAAUAGACUUGAGAAUUCGACCAAGAAACGACUACUCGACCGUACUAAUCUGCAAGGGUCAUUACGGCACAGACCGAUUAGAGACCGGAGAUAGGUCGAUUCUACAGAACCAUGUAAUUCGGUAUGGGUAAUUCCACCUAAUUGCACAAUUCUUGUUGAUCGGCACUAGACCGAUUUCUCUAUCGUUUUGGUACCCUGUGUCCGUAUUUGAAACCUCGAGAUUUCUACGACAAUCAAGAGUCGCAAAUGUGUCGAAGAUGCACUUUAUGGCUUGAAAAUAAUCAACCACAGGUCAAUUGCACAGAAAAUUCCUAAAAGCUACCCAGUAGAUUAGGACGCGCUAAAGUCGCACCAGAUUAAAUUUAACCGUGAAAUUGAACCCGAUUAUAGAAAUUAGAAGUUCUGUCAAGUCACAAUUCAUUUUAGGAAUGUCGACUCAUCUCCAGAAGAUUUUUCUACAAACCGAGAUUUUUGGCAGAAAAGCAAAGUAAGGCCGUUUUUGUUCGAGAUUGUCAGAGGGCCGUUUUUAAUCGAAUCUUCGGGAUGCAAGUUGGAUCAUUUGACGGGGAAAUGUCAUGAGAAGGCCGAGGACACAUGGGUUGGUUUAAUUGAGCUUCAAUUGGAUGGAAUUGAGAGAGAAUUGAAUGGAUUGAAUGGGGGAAUGUCCAAAAUUCGUAGCUCCCAUGGCACACCACAUUUUGCACCUAUUGCCAAGCUUGUAGAGGAAGCUUGGAGGAGAGAGAGUGGCUGAGGUCAUGUGGUGUCAUGGUGGGGGCAAAGCCAAUGAGAAGAUGGCAAGUGUUGAGCUCUAGAGAGCCCAAGGAGACCCCCCACUCUUUAGCAGCUUCUCCUCCCUUAAUCCAAGGCUUUCUCCAUUGUUGUUGAAGGAGAGAAGCUCAGUAAAAACCAGAGGAACCGAGCUCACCAGCCCCUCCAUCGUCGCACGCCCGGAAGGCCAUCGUCGGCCAGGAAGGCCAUCGUCGGCCAUUUUCCUCCCCUGUUUUCUCCUCGUUCCAGUUUCUGCUCCAGCCGACCUUUCGCCAAAGAUUCGAGUUAAAAGUCGACUUCCCGGAUGAAUCAGCGAACGCUCCACCCAUGUCCGUGACGAGGACAUCCAGACCGUUCCGGAGCACCUCGCCGCUCGCCGGAAAGAUUCUCCGGCUGUCCCGAAAUCCUGAGAGAAGCUGCCGCUCGCCGGACCGUCUGGACUCGCCCUGUUCCGCCUGUUUCGGGUUUUCUUGCUGUUUCGCCCCAUUCCGACCCUUCCUUUGCCCAUCCCAACCUCCUAUAAGAUCCCCAAGACCCCCGGGAGCCAUUGGUUGCCAACCACCCGCUCGCCGGAGCUCCGAUCAGCCCGUUUUCGCCGUUGAAGUUGCUGGUUUCUUCUCUGCAGUUCAGUCCAGAUCAGAAGCAGAAGACAGCAAGGUUUUGGAGACUUUGUGGCCCGUUUUCAAGCCCUUCCCGGCCUCCGUUGGUGUCGCCGCUUUGGGGGUUUAUCGACCGCCUUGGCGUCGUGGUCGCCGUGAACUCACCGGAGCGCAAAACCGGUGAGUUUAUCCUCUAAUUCUUGCUUAGUGAGUUAAUGACGCUUAAGGGGUGUUUAGAUUAGUCUAAUUAGGUUUAGGUAGUUAGAUUAGAUUAUUUUAAUAUAAAUUAGAUUAGUUGUAUGAUUAGCUUAAUGGAUGUUUAAUUAGGGCUAAUUAUAUGAUUAAUUUAGUGUAAUCUUGUUUAAGCCCUAAUUAAUUAUUUUUAAUUAAUUAAUUAUUUCGAAUUUAUAAAUAUUAUUUUAUUAAAUUAUAUUAUUAAAAUAUAAUAUUUAAUUAUUUAAUUUUCGGAAUUAAAUUUAAUUAUUUAAUAAUUUCGAAAAUUAUGCCGAGAUGGCCGGUAGUUAGAAUUUCGCACUGAUCGCAGCAGUGCGGUCGGUUUGUGCUAAUUGUAUGCUUAAAUUGAGAAAUUGAGUGAUUGAUGAUUAUGGUUAAUAAUUCCAAAAGUGUGGAAUUGAGUAAUAUUGAUGAAGUUGUGGUAUUUAACUUGAAAAUACCCGGUGUUGGCUUUUAGCACCAUAAUUGGUUUGUAUGACCAGUUUGUAUCGAUUGAUUGAAUGGAUGUUUAUGUGGGGAUUCAUCCCAAAUCUGUUUAGUGUUGGUAUUCGAUUAGAUUUUUAAUCGUGAAAGGUUGUGAUGGAUCUAGAAAAUCAUCGAAGCUCGGCUGUGCCCUGUUGGAUCGUGAUAUACCACCGAAUUGGGAAUCGGUCGUGCCCACUGGGGCCGUAAACUGCCACCUGAUAGAGGUCACGCCCGUUGGGCCGUAAAUUGCCAUCUGAUAAAGGUCGCGCCCGUUGGACCGUAAAUUGCCACCCGAUAAGGGUCGCGCCUGAUAAGGCCGUAACCUGCCACCUAUUAAAGGUCGCGCCCAUUGGGCCGUAAUUUGCCACUUAAAGAUAGAUCGUGUCCUUUGGACCGUGGUUUAUAUCGGAGGAUUGAUUAAGUUCGGCUCGUUGAGCCGGGAGUGAAAUUGGAAUUGGAACGCUUGAGAUGAUCAGAGGGUGGUUUUGAUGACAUGUAAUCGACUGAGUCGAUUGAUCGCUGAAUCGAUAUGAGUAAUUGAAUUGUUUGGAUGAUGUGGUUGUCAAUAUUUAUUGAUUAAACUGACGUGUAGGAAGGAACUGAGGCGAGGUAAGUCCUCUAUCCUAUUUGUGUGGCUAGAGCGCCCUGAGGCGUAUUUUCUUCCUAAUUGAGUUUUAGAGGGUAGGACUUGCUGAGACGUAGUCUCAUCCCGGUUGUGGGAUAAUAUUUCAGGUCCUUAGAUGAUGGUCGUGGAGGACCGGAAGUCCUGGAGUUCGGAAGAUGGAGGCUGAAGAAUCGGCGAACGUGUCUGACAAGUUGGUCAUAGGACAGUUCCCUUUUUGUUGAGCCUGUCUAUUUUGUAGACAUCCAGUGUUGUAUAUAAACCUAUGUGUUUAUAGAAAGCUUGUUUGGUUGUGAUUGAUUGCCUGCUUUUCUAUCUCAAGUUAAAUGUUGUCAGGGGAUUUGUUUCGCUUCCGCAUGUGCAAUAAAAAUGAAUGGGUCGGCGACGUGUCCUGGGAAGUCGCAUUUGUAUCGACCAGAGUGGGAUGUUUGCGCGCUCGGAGGAUCGGGGCGUGACACCAAUGGUUGGGCGAGCUCUCCUGGCCACCUUAGUCCUGCGAUGGGCUAGCCCUCCCCUCUAGCCGAUCGCCGAAGCCAAAGGAGGAGGAGGGAGGAAGGAGAAGAAAAAAAAAAGGAAAAAAAGAUAAAUAAUUUAUAAAAAUAAAAUAUUAUUAAAAAAAGGUCCCCAGUGGCCACGUCAACGACCUUUUUUUUAAUAAUAUUUUAGUAAAAAUAAGCUUAUGACUAAAUUUGCACAAUUACAAUAGAUUUAGAACUUUUUGGUAAUUUUCCUAUUACAAUAAGAUAGUGUUGGUAUGAUGCGCGGGUUCCUUGAGCCACCAAAAAAAAGAAAAAAAAAAAAAGAUAAGUCCAAACCCUAAACACAUUAACUAUAUUUUUUUAUAGAUUUCUAGACAGAUAAUAGGAAUGUACUUUUCAUUAAUGAUCAUACGCAUUACUAUUUAUGAAAGUUUAUACCACAUCGAUAGUUUUAAAUGUUAGCCCAAAUUUGAUAUAUCGAGCUGAAGUUUGGGAUUUAUUCAUUUGCUACUUAGGAAUUCUCUUCUUGCAUGAAAUUUGCCGAAAAUUAGAGAAUCUCAUGAUACCAACAAAAUAUCAUGUAUUCAACUUUUUUUCAACUUGAUACACUACAUAUAUAGCAAAAUUUACAAAAUUCCACAAAAACACUGCACCAGAUUCCUACCGCACCUUUCAUUCUCUUAUUCUGAGCAAAGACGAACAAACAGCACUCACCAGCUGCUACAUAUGUAGUGUAUCAAGUUGAAAAAAAGUUGAAUACACUUUUCCGAUGACGAAAGUCNNNNNNNNNNNNNNNNNNNNNNNNNNNNNNNNNNNNNNNNNNNNNNNNNNNNNNNNNNNNNNNNNNNNNNNNNNNNNNNNNNNNNNNNNNNNNNNNNNNNAUGCGGACCCCACGUUUUUUGUUGGUAUCAUGAGAUUCUCUAAUUUUCGGCAAAUUUCAUGCAAGAAGAGAAUUCAUAAGUAGCAAAUGAAUAAAUCUCGAACUUCAGCUCGAUAUAUCAAAUUUGGGCUAACAUUUAAAACAAUCAAUGUGGUAUAAACUUUCAUAAAUAGUAAUGCGUAUGAUCAUUAAUGAAAAGUACAUUCCUAUUAUAUGUCAAGAAAUCUAUAUAUAUAUAUGUAUAGUUAAUGUGUUUAGGGUUCGGACUUAUCUUAUUGUAAUAGGGAAGUUACCAAAAAGUUCUAAAUAUAUUGUAAUUGUGCCAAUUUAUAAGCUUAUCACUAAAUUAAUGUGUUUAGGGUUCAGUCUCGAUUGUUAUUGUUCUUGAAAGAGACACGAGAAUGAAGAAAUAAACCAUGGUGGGAGAUAGAUUGAGCCAACGUGCAACAAGAACUCAAUUGUAAGCAUCAGGGUUUUUGCAAGAGAUGGGCUUCAAUGGCUUUCAACAUUCCCAUGGCCUUCUCUUUGCUGGCCUUGUUCUCUUCCCGUCCAUGGCGAAGUACUUGCUCGUGCUCUUGCCCAUGCACCCUCCCCGUCUGGCCCCGCCUCGGCCUUGAUCUCAUUUGAGAUCUUCUCUAGCGCAUCGCCCUCAACGAUGGCAUAUGUGUGCGUGAGCUUUCCUUGUCCAGCUUGUCGACUGAUGUUUCACCGAGUUGAACUGUCUAGCUGCGAGACACAAAAAACAGCAGUCAGCUCCCACGUUAGCCUUAUCAAAUAAUGUCAGCAAACAUCUUCUUGACAUCACAUGUUAAUGCGACACGAUCAAAAUGACGGAAAUUGGAAGACAGCGCAAGCACUCGUCUUUGCCGAAAACAACGUGAUGGUGCCGGGACCGCCAUCACCUGCAAGGGUGACAAAAUCCUCAGUGGCUUGUGGAAGGAGCUUGGGGAUGAGAUUGUCAUCAAGAACAAAGGCCUUGAACAUUCUUGCAGGUGGAAUUGAGUGCAUCUUCGCCUAACAGUUCCAAGUCCCUCGGCAAGAGAUGUGUGAGAUUAUGUUAAAAUGCCCUCUAAAUGAUUCUUAAUUGCCUCGUUUAGUAAUCUAGAUCAACAUCACAGUGGUCUAAAUCAUAUAAUAAAGAAAGAGGACAAAAGGCAUGGAUCUCAAGCCCAAAAUUAUACUUAUUAGCAUGCAAGAGAUCUUUGAAUGCAUAUACCCUUGAGGGUGGGAAUUCAUUAAAUUCUCAUUUAAAUAUUCUAACAGAGCCCAGCGGCUCGGAGAAUUAAGCUUGAGUGCAUGUAGAUAAUUCUUGCACGAUAAACGCGUGGUGGGUUGUGAAUUGAGACUCAUCCGCGUGCACACUGGUGCCACCAUCACCAUGAAUACCACUUCCUCGACCAGUUGGACGGUCGAAAAAGGAAGACAUGGGUCGAGCACAUCCUUCAUUAGCACAUUUGAGUCUUCCAAUAAUGUCGACGUUUGUGUCAUUCAUAGGGAAGAGGGAAGAUUUCCUGGAUGCUUCCCCGUCAUAAUCUAGCUUCAUUACUUUUACUGCUGACUCUGUUUUAUGAAAGAAGAAUGAGUCAAUGUUUUGAUCACAAUGCCAAGUUGCCCACAAGUUCCAAAUUUCUGCGAUACUUCUAAAAGAAGCCACUUUUCAAAAUCUAUAUUCCAAAAGUCUUGUUAGAAUUAUUGGACGAAUCCAAAUUCAAUUUGUCUAUCAACCAUAUGGUUACUGCCAACAUUGUUUUUCAAGAAAAAAAAAUGAAUCAAAGUCAAGGUCAUAAUGUCAAGUUGUACCCAAACUCCAAAUUUGUGUGACACUCUGACACAUACCACUUUUCAAAACCUUUACUUGCAGAGUCCUAAAUGUCCUGUUGGACUUAUUCAAAUGCAAAUUCGAGAUGUUAAUUAGAGCUAUUUAAUCAAUCCAAGACCAUUUGUACCUACAAAAUGUUUGUUUAGAUUCGAUCAUCUAACUUACCAGGAGCCAUGUAGCCAUAAGAUCCAGCCACUAUGGUCCAAUCCGACGAGUCCAAAUUCAAGAGUCUCGUUGUCCUGAAGUCCGAAAGCGAGUGCUCGAAGUCCCACUCGAGCAAGAUGUUGUUCAGCAUUAUGUCCCGAUGGACGAUAGGCAGGGAGCAAUUGCAAUGCAAGUAGGCAAUUGCGUAAGCCACGCCUUGGACAAUCUUCACUCUUGUACCCCAGUCCAGUUCCGUUCCUCCUUUUCAUCCAUACAAGACCCUUGCCAAACUGUCUCUCUCCACAGAUUCAUAGGCCAAGUAAAUGCAACCCCUCUUGAAACAGAACCCGCGGAGCUUAAUCACAUUGUGGUGCCAGACCUUCGUGGACAUGCGGAUCUCGUUCUUGAAACUCUGGUGGUCGACUGCAAGGACAUCGCCGGAUUCUAAUGUUUUGAGCUUUUUGACAGCAGCGAUGACUUGGCCGUUGGCCAGUUCAGCCUUGUAAACGUUCCCAAACCUGCCCUUUCCGAUGCAGUACUUUUCGCUGAAGUCGUUGAUAGCCUUGGCGAUGUCAUUGAAUGUGAACCUUCCUUCCCUUUCCCAUACGAUCGACUCAGAUUUCUCAUACUUCAUUGACUUCCUUGUUUCGCAAUUGAAGCACCAGAAUCACAGCAAUUAAAGUCACCGGAAAUAGCUCGCAUCAAUAAGAACUUUUUCGCUCUGGUCAAUUGAUUUACUACUCAUCCUACAAGGAGAUAAUCCUGUCGGAUUUUCACACGAGCCCGGAUUUGCAAUAAAAGCACUUCACGGUGCUUGUUGGAAGAGGCAACCACUAGAAACCGCACCUGUCAGCUCGUUGUACGAUAAGUCUAUGGAGCUUAAACAAGUUAUAUUUCUAUCUUUUUCAAUGUUCAUUAUAAUGUUCCGUAAGGUUGAAACCGCCUUGAUCUAGAGCAAUCCUAAGUUCCUAAUACAGACGGACUAACCUUCGUCAAAAGUGAUCAACUUGGUGGUCUCGGGACCUUCUUCACCCUCGAGGACUUCGAAGCUCUUGAUGGCUUGCGGGAAGACCCUGGGGAUGAGGUUAUUGGCGUCGAGGACAAUGGCCUUGAACAUCUUGGCCGGAGGGAUCUGGACGUGAUCUCGGAAUCGUAAGUGAUGAUACCCAUGAUUGGAUCCGAAUUGAGCUGCUGAAACUGAGAAGGGAGUGAUGAUCAGGAAAGACUGAGUAGCAGUGAUGAAGUUGGUCUCUAGGACUUGGGAGUGAAGAGAAGGGGCUGAAGCGGAGCUGACAUAUAUAGAGAGAGAGACUAAGUGUGAAGGGUUUUGAUCAGUGAAUAUUUUCUUGUUAUUAAGGUGCUUUGUUCAAUAGAAAUAAAUGAUUUGGAAUAUGUAAAUAAUCAUUAAUAUCAUUUGAAACAAUCAAUUAAUGAGAAAUAUUUUUAGUAUCAACAAUAACUCACGUCUAAAUAUUUUCGUAAAUGAUGAAAAUAUUUCUUAUUCAUUUAUUUUUGCAAGCUAUACAAGCGUUUUAGGAAAAUGUUUUCCAAAUCAUUCAUUUUUUGCAAAACAAUCAAGACUUAAAGAACAAAAAAAGAAAAAAAAAACCUUAAUUACUCCUUGGUUUGUUCAGAUCAUGACAUGGCCCUUGUUCCUAAAAUAAAAAUGUCUAUAUGAUAAUAGAGUAUUAGUCAAAGAAGGUAGGCACCAUAUCCUAGAAUGAUACCAAACGUUAUUGCAUUUCCCUUUUAUGUAUGGACUUGAUUCCAUCCAAGAUGGCUGAGAUUUACUGAUUUCUUACGGUCUUAUUAUCGUAGAAAAUAUUGAUCACGAUCCAUCGAGAUUCUGUCCUAAGUCAUUUUGAUUUGUUCGCAGAAGUAGCAAUCUUAAAAGUCGGCAGAGGCCACGAGAAGAGUUUGAUGCAUAUAGUAGAAAACUUGAAAAACCAAGUCACAAUUUUUCAAAUUGGGUGAUUUUUUAUUUUUAUUUUUGGGUGAUUUGGGUACUACAUGUUUGCAUAGAGCUUCCAUCAAUAAGAAAAGUGUCGAGUAUUCUCAAUGUUGUACCAACAUAAUAGAGCAGAAAGAGAAAGGAGGGGUAGUUUUGUAAGUACACUUUAUUAGUUUGCUGAAGCCGGAGUCCUAUGAAUAAAAAUAUAAAUAUAUACGUAUAUAAAUGAGUAGGUUUCAAGGUUUUAUACAUUUAGUCAACAAAGGCCGUUCUGAAAGUCAAGAUGGACGUCUAAAAAUUUUGAUUUUUCCUCUUUCUUGCAUAUGUCCAGUCCUUCUAGAUAAUAUUAUUACAAAUCCUUUUCUGCAAAUUAUAUGGUGGAGGUGUGGUGGAUCAGGGGACAUUGGCACUCCGGUCACGUGCUAAAUAAACAUUUUUUUUAAUGUUUCCUAUGUAUAAUUCUUAUCUAAAUUAUAGACCAUAGUGCGGCCCCGUUAAAUGCGCAUCGUGAUUGAUUUCCCACACCUAAGUCUUUGUUCAAAUUUCAGACUUAGAAAUAUGAAUAAAGUAACGAUUGUGUGUCAAGUACAAGCAUAUCAUUUGACGAAGAAGCUUCUGGUCAACCUUCGAGCUAUGAUGAUGAAGUCUGAACAAUUUUUCUUCACCUUGCUGAGUCAUUUUAAAUGGGGAAAAGUACCAAAAAAAAACUAUAGACUUAUUGCUUUAAUAUCAAUUCAGUCUUAAAUACUUCAAUUGAACCAAUUUAGUCAUAAAUCUUUUUAUAUUAGUAUCAAUUGAGUCCAUCUGACCAAUUUAGGCUAAAAACUACUGACGUGGACAUCGAUGGUCCUACAUAGUACGACCAACAUUAACAUAGACAUAUUUUAUGAUUUUUAAUAUUUUUUUCAGAAUUAUUUUUCCUCUUUUCUUUUUUUUUUUUCCCCUUACCCUUUGGCCGGCGCCAACUGUCGAUGGUCAUGGUCUAGGCAAGGGCCUCUAUGCCCUCGAAUAUAUAUAGUCCACGUCAAAAUUAAGAUAUAUGUAGGAGUAAGCAAUUCUAAGUUCCUUACAAAUUUCGCCUAAAACCUAGAAUCUAUCAUCGGGUACAAAUUCUUCAUUUUUUAGAACCUAAAACCUAUUUGUUGGAACUUAGAAUUUUGAAAUCUACCCCGUCACAAGUUCCACGUUGGUUUCAGAGUCCAACAUGUUCUUUUUUUUUUUUUUCAUUUUUAAUAUGAACGCAAUAAUAUUAAACAAGCUUAUCAUUCAUCAAAGAGAAUACAAAAUGAAUAAAAUUAUCAACAAAAGAAAAAGAAUUCUUAGUAAGGAAUUCAACUAAAUAAAAAUAAAGGUGAGCGGUUCCAAAUUCCGUAUAGGUUUCACCUAAAACUUAAAACUUACCUAUUAGAACAAGUUCUUCAUUUUUUGAAACCUAAAUCCUACUUUGCAUACCCUAGAACUUCAAACCUAUCCUAUCAUAGGUUCCAAGAUCUACCUAAGUCUCAUUUAUAUUAUUAUUUAAAUAAUUACGAUUCACUAAUCAUAAUUUAUAUUUAGAUAUACGCAAAAAUAUAAACAUUAAUAAAGUAAAAAUAUUAGUUAUAAAAUGAAAAUUCAAACUAGUACUUCUAGAUUAUACACUCAUCAUCGAAUAGUAUCGAACAGUAUGGAAUAUCGAAGAAUCGCACAAAGACAUAAAUCAAGAAAACUAUUCAAACUCAUUCUAGAUUCUAUGUUCUAUGUUCCAAGUUCCUCAAACUAAGAAUCUAGAACCUUCCUAUUGCAAGAGAUUUCUCAUUUUUUGGAAUUUGAAACUUAUCCUGCAUUUGGAAACCAUACCUUGGAAUUUGGAACCUACCUAGAAUCAUGCUUACUCCUAAUAUAUAGCCCUUGAAUAUAUAUAGUCCACGGGCUGGUCUAGUAUGGUCUGGGCAAGGGCCUGACGUGCCGGCCCAGUCCGGGCUUCAUUCUCCCUAAUAAAGGCCCAACCGAGAAAGGGGGAAAAGAGAAACCCAGCCCAAAGCCUACUCAUCCGAACAAACCAAAUUAAGCCCCGAAUUCAAUAUUCUUUUAGUGAAAACAAAGCCCAAAAUUACCAAUUUAGCAAUUCAAGCCCACCCAAUGACCUAAUUUUUCCUUUUGCUUUCUCUUCAAACGUGCCUACUCACAACCUCGUGGCUUCACAGAAGCAUCCCCACCCGCUUCUCUCUUCCCCAAGGACCGAAGACGUUGCUGGUUCGAGCAACCAGGUUUAGCCAAAAAAAUUCAGGCACCAUUUAAACCAUGCCCGGCCAUUACGCGGCUGUCAUUCAUGGCAAUAACCACCACCGUCUUUCCUCUUCCCUCCUCGCCGGCCAAGUACCGGUUGCCCAGAAACACGACUCGCACAGAAAGAACGUCGAAACAAGAACGUGCAAAGUGAAGCAUAGCAACGAGGAUUUACCAAGAUUCGUUUGACAAGCGACGAGCACCCACGACGGACGGAGAACUAAGAAUCAACAGCACGAAUCUUACUUGAACAUUUCGUCGAACACGUGGAAGGCAUCGGCUAAAAGGGAGCUCUAGACUUGCCCGACACGGACCCAAAAUCAACAAACAACGGACCAGCAAAACUUGACCCCAACAUGGGGACGUCUCAUGUGUGCUUAGUGUAGGCGUGAAUGGAAAGCAGCAAACCGCAACCAUGAAGAACACAAGUGGGCAUCUAACUUUAGGCAUUUUGUCGAGCAUGUGGUAUACACAAAUUGGGAGUGAGGAACGGGGACGACCGCGCCCGGGCUCGAGCCGGGAUUCAAAGAAAUCGAUACACUAGGCCUCAAGACAUUAGUACGCACACAAAUAAGGCCGGAAACUCGCAUGAACCGGAAAGCAGCAGCCCAGUCCGGCGAGCCCGAAACAGGGCAUGGGCACAAAAAAGGGCGGUCGGCAGAGAGUCCCUACCCAGCUCGCGGCGUCGGACGCCGGACGAGCUCGAUAGAUCGGGCUACGUCCGUCCGCCUCGCUCGUCUCCUAGCCGGGAUCCUCGGGAAGCCGACCCCGAAUCGGGAAAAGCGAAGACGGCCCGAACGGGGACCUACCAUGGCCUCGAAGUGGACAAGGAGCGGCGGCGGAUCAUCAGUUUUGGUUCGGAAGUGGAGGCCAACAGCGGCUCUCUCAGUCGCGUUCUCUCUCUCUCUCAACUCACGGGUCUCUCUUUCGCGGCCCUCUCUCCUCGGAUCCGAAUCCCUCUCGCCUCGUACUUGACCCCCUCCGAUUUCUCCCUCCUCCCCGACCUCUGGCCUUCUGAGAAAGCCGGUCGGCGGAGGCGCUUCGGCCGCCGGUCCUUCGCGCCGACCGGCCCCCCUUGGCUGAACCAGCAUCACAUCACCCGUCGCCUCCAGCGCCGCCUGCUCUGCUCCUUCUGCUGCGGCCGCCCCCGCUGGCGUGAGGAAGAAGCGGGAGGGAGGAAGGAGGGGCCGGGCCGGGGUGAGAAGCACAAGCAGAGUAGGCCCUGGGCCCACUCGGGGAAGAAAGGAGAAAAGAGGGGGGGGGGGCUAAGGCGAAGGCCCAGCUCCCGUGGGCCCUUUUUUUUAUAUAAAUAAUAUUAAAUAGGGUUAAAUAAGAGAGAAUAAAACUAAAAUAAAACUUAAAAUGCAAAUAAUAUUAAUGCUUAUAUGAUGUGAAAAUCGUUUUUGUUAGGGUCAAAUUGAUUUCAAAUUUUUUAUAUUAUUUUAAUUUUAGAUGUUUAGUCAAAAUUUAAGUAUCAAUAAAUAUAAAUGUCAAACUGCAAGAGUAAAAAUAAAAAAGAAAGGGUUAAUACCCUAGAAAACCCCAAACUGGUACACUUGUGACAAAUUUACCCCAAACUAUUUUUUUGACCAUGAAAAACCCCAAACUGGUAAACCUGUGACAAAUUUACCCUGACUAACUAUAAAAAACCCUAAACUGGUACACUUAUGACAAAUUUACCCCAAACUAAUUUAUUUGACUGCAAAAAACCAUAAACUGGUAAAUUUGUGACAAAUAUACCCUCUGCUAAAUUGGAUUAAUACCACAAAAAAAUCAAAAAAAUUAUAAACUGUGACAAACGGAGCGUAAAAUCCUAAAUUGGUAUACCGAUUAACUGUCACGUGCCAUUAACUUAAUAAUUUGAGAAUAAAAUUUAACGAAAACUAACAUAGGGUAAAUUUGUCACAAGUGUACCAGUUUGGGGUAAAUUUGUCAAAUGUAUACCAGUUUGGGGUUUUUGGUGGUCAAAAAAAUAGUUCAGGGUAAAUUUGUCACAAGUGUACCAGUUUGGGGUUUUUUAGGGUAUUUGCCCAAAAAGAAAAGAAUUAAAGAAGAGACAAGUGUGGUUGCACCUUUAUCCCACCAUGUGACUGAAAUUGUUUACGAAAGUAAAAAAUUCAACGAACAUCACUUGCUCUAGUUUUAAUUGAAUUAUUGUGAACCUUAUUUCUCCACCACGCAUCCUCGUUAAAGUCAUCCUUUGAUGAAUCAAAAUUUGUCUAUAUGUUAUACGUAGUGACACGUGUAAUUCAGUGUGGCUCUUUUGAUGGGACAAAUUUCUCACAUCACCAAUUACCUCUUAUUAGGAUAAGUUCUUUCAAGGAAGGAUCCUAUAUUCUUUUUUUUUUUAAUAAUAUCGUUGUUGUUGUCGGUGACGUGUUCCUUUUCCAAAUUAAUUGGAAUAUAUCAUUUUAAAUAGAUAAGAUCUCUACCUUAAAUGGGAGUAUGAGUUUCAAACGCCUAUGAUAUAUUAUUAUUGAUAGUCACACAAAAAUAACAUGACAGUUGAUGCUACGGUAUGACACAUAAUAAAUAAAGGCGAAAAGCCAUAUUUUAGUAAAACAAAUUCAAAACCGAGUGUUGAGAUUAUUUAUCAACAUGGACAUCAACUUAUAGCAUCUCCUUUUACUAAUGAAUAGGGCUUGGAUUAAAUAAUCAACCUAGUGAUAGUCUAAAAUAGCUCUUUUUGCCUUGCUCCUUUAGCUUUGGACAUCAACUUUAUAUAUUUUUUAAUUUACUUGUAAUCUUAUUUGGUAAAAUCUAUACAUGUGCAUCGAAAGUGCACGAUCUAAAAGAGUUCAUCAAUGUCGUAGCCACAACCAAGAAGUAUGUGUGAUUUGUUUUUAGAUCCCACAUAAACUGAAAGCACGCUAACAUUUGGAUCAAUAUCAAAUUACUUGUGGAUUGCCGACUAUGAAAGCAUAAAGGAGUAACUAUAUAAAUUAAUCCUAGCUAGGAUCUUCCUACAUUUCUACAUGGGUAGGCAUUUAAAUGAUCAAUGGGAGAGAGAUUAUAUAUAAAUCAUAAUUCAAAGUGACGAUUUACUCUCUUAAUAAUGAUGACGACGAUGAUAAUUAUAUAAAAUUGAGAGGACAAAUUUUUUUUUGGCCUGGUAGAGUCUAUAAAGAACUACACAAUACAUCGGGAUGAUCAUUAGAUGAAAGUGCAUGCUUACAACAUUGAAAAUCAUUUUGUAGGGUAUAGAUCUACCAAAUUGUUCAAACAUUGUUUUAAUGGUUUCCCUUGGAUGAAAGACUCUUCCUCUAACACAUGAUUUACUUAAUUUAAUCAGUCCAAGAGAGAGAUACACCACCCACGUGCCCCAUAAGCAACGGGGAAUUUGUCUAAUAUGUUAUGAUGUACAAGACCGUACAAUUCCAUUCGCUCUUUUGAUAAAUAUAAAUUAUCAUGCAAUCGGUGAAUUCAAAUCUAAUGUUAUUAAGAUAUUUCACGUGUGCACGUGUGGUUUUGGGUCUAAUAGAUCAAACCAACAUACAACGUCAACUUCAGACAAACACAUUUUUGGUCGUUCACUCUUCCUUUAUAAAAAUCCCUUUGAAGGCCAAAUGUCUGAUAGUCCUUGAUACUUGACACCCUAAAGUUUACUUAGCAAAGGUUCAAUAAAGUCAGGUUUUGGAAGGGUCAUCAGGAGUAUUACAAGUCGGAACGAGUAAAACAAGGAUCUCUGUAAAGUUAACCACCUUGUUGAAGUUGCAUUUGAUGAAUGAAUUAAUCCCAACUGAAAUUCUUUUAGAGCAUAUGUUAACAAGACAAUCGCAAAAUUGUCGUCAAAUAAAGCACCCAGGCCAAAAGCGGAAUUCAUCACGAUGAUUUUUGGAUUGAAGUGGUGAAAAAGCUUGGUCGAGAGUUAAUUGGGAGAUAGAGAAAGCUCAAACUUUAGGAUAAGCAAUUUUGUGGCUAAUAAUAGAAGCUACAAAAGGUUUUGGCCACUCACGCACGUGCCAGGUCUGCUCUCACGUGCACGCGGACCCUGGUCUGUGUCUCGGCCUCUCAAAUCUCUCUCUCCUGUUCUUCAAUCUCCACUUUCCGUCACCCAUUAAUCCCAUCUUCCUCGCUGACAUGAAGUCAUUAACAUUCGAUUUGAUCCCCAAAAAGAGAAAUCAACACUUAUCGCAUGAAUCAAAAGCAAAUACUAUGGAAUCGGUGUCCCAUGAGGUUGAUCUUAUAUGAUAACGUCUUUGUAUCGGCUACAUACAUUAUGUACAAAAAAAGUGUAAUUAUACUAUCAUAUUUUCGUUAAUUCACCUCUUUGAUCCAAUAUUAUUUGUUGACGUUGCCCUUAAAAAAAUCAGGACAUGACAUCCUCCUUAGUUGAUUGAUAUAUGACAAGGGUCGACAAAAAAGACAGCAUCUAAGUUAACAAUUUGGGAAGAUUAAUGUUUGUGAUGGAGGAUAUUAACUUAUUACGUGGCAGAAUCUUUCUGACAUCGUACAAUUAGCUAUCAAGCAAACUUUUUCGCCUUUUGUUUUUCAAGAAACAAACAAUCACAAGUUUUUAAAAACCAAAUGCCCAUUUAGUUGAUGGAAAAUUGAUUACAGAAAAGUUUUCCAUAUUUCAAUAUUUAGAUGAUAGAAAAUUAUUCAAUUUACCAAAAGUUUUUUUUUCUGUGGAUUGAAAAUAAUAAAUUUAUAUUUGGAAAAAAAAAACUUCUGUUUACGGUAAGAAAUCAUUUAUCCUAAUUUUUUGCUAAUUCUUAUAGAUUAAAUUAGCCUAAAUUAGACUUUAUUAACGCAUAUUAGUGGAUUCACUUGCUAUCAAACACCAUAAAAUUAAUUUUUCUCCAGCAUGUUUUGGCACGAAAGAACACCAGAAAAUUAUUUAAUUUCUCUGGAAUUUAAUUUUUUUGAAAAUACUUUUCAGUGAUAAAUUUUCGCUAAAAAGGCGCAUCCAAGCUACAUUUUUGUUAACCCUGUUCUCCCUCUCUCCUUCUCUCGCUCUCUGCCUGCUGCAGUUCUCUGCUCUCUCUGAGCUACUCUUUCUUCGCCAACUGUACAAAAGGCCAAAAAAUAUAAUUGAGUUUCACCAGCAAUUAUGCACCUCUCUCUCUCUCUCUCUGCUGCAGCUCUUUUUUCGUCAGCUGUACCAAAGGUCAAAAAAUGUAGUUGAGUUUCACCGGGAAUUAUGCGAGAGAAUAUUGGCUACGUCUGCUACUCCAGGCAAAUAAGAAGGUACUCAAAUUACGCCACAUGUCCAACGUGGCCCACGUUGUCAGGCCAAUUUCCUUUGAAGUGAAGAGAAGUCCGCGUUGUCAGGCCAAUUUUGAAAUAUGUUUGGCUCUUCCUCUUGAGGGAGAGGGAACCGCGUUCUCCCCUGUUCUCCCGGCUCCCUCUCUCUUUUGCGCCCGACUCUCUCUCCCUCCGACCCCUCGUCCGACGCCCCCGACUGACGCACCAUCGCGCCCGAUCGACGGACCACUGUGCAGCCUUUCUUUACUCUUCAGGUUUUGUUGCUUUGAUUUCUUGACUCAUGGCUUCUGUCCUAUGAUAUGCUUCAUGUGCUACCAUGUUCUGUUAGAUCUGGGUUUUGGCGACGGUUUUCCUGUCUUAUGGGAUCUGACUCUUUUAAGGAUACUCGAACAUCAUAGUUUUGUUGCUUUCUGAGCUAUGCAUGCACAUUCAAACAUCACAUGGCUUUUUGUAAUUGCAUUUAGCUUGAUAUAAGAAUGUUUAAUUCUUUGGAUUAGCUAACUUUGAUCUGCAUUUCGUUACUGCUAAUUCUGCCUCACCCCAGCUUCUAGAUUGCCCUGAGAAAUCUGGUCAUCUUUAGUUUGUUGUGAGCAUAAUUUGAAUUUGCAGCCCCACCCAAAAGAGAAAACCCUACAUGUUCACAGCGAAAAUUCUAAGUCAAUUAAAGUGAGAAUUUGCAGACUAUCAAGAAAAAGUUGGUUUUUCACAAAAGUGCUAUUAAGUUAUAAAUAAGUCAUAUGGAAAUCAGGUAACACUUUUUUUUAAUCAAUAAUUUUUUAACACUUACCAAUUCCUUCAGGAAUUUAUCCGCAUGAAAAAUAUCCGUUUGUUUUAAAAUGGAGUAGUAAAGUCGUCCCUGUGACGUAUGAGAGUUAAUUGCCUUUUUAACAAUUUGCGUCUGGAUGGCCUCUUCACUAAACAAGAGGUCUUCUUGUAAAUGGCAUAAUUAUGAUUUUUUGGGUGUCGAAUUGUCGUGAUCAUAAUUAUUAUUACUUUUUUUACCAAGAUCAUGUGUUCUACGUUGGUCCAAUUCUAAGGAAAUUUGUUUCCCCCGUAACAGGGGGGUGAAUUGAUUUUUCAAGAUAUUGAAAAUCAAUUUUGUAAAACCUACCCCUAUAAAAAUUGUGCUUCUACUACAAGUAUACUAGCAAUUUAAACAGGACAAACUAAAAAGUUUAGAGAAAGAAAAAUUGCAAAAUGAGAAUUAUGAAAGUUCGAUUCGGGUAUACAUACUCCUCUUUCUAGCUCUAAUAGCCCAAAUAGACUGAACUCUACUAGCUAUGCCAAGAGUACAAAUACAUCUUGUUUUGAAAAUUACUCGAUCGGUCUUAAACUUUUCAAUUUUGCAAAUUUAGUUUUAAACAUUUGUGUGAAAUUUCAAUAUAUUCAUUUCAGUCAUUUUUCGCCGGAAAUUUCUGACGUGACAUUAUCGUUGGCCAUCCUAUGUAGCAAACCACUAUGCCCACGAUUUUCAGCUAAAAUUGACGAAAAGACUAAAUUGAAAUUUCACACAAAAAGUCUAGUUGAUGACCGAAUUAAUAUCCGUGCAAUAAGUCUAGGAUUGAUUAGACAAUUACUUGUUACAAGAGUAGAACUUGCUGCCACAAAGAACUUGACUUCCUUCUACAGCAAUCCCGCUGUACACUGAGUAACUUUUGGACCCUCCAAUAGCCGUUCUCACACCUUGUUCACACGAUACAAAGGUCCUUUUCUAAAUUAUAAACCACACCUCCGACUGUUUACAAAGAGUCCAUUAUACAUUUUAUCUCUUGCCUAGACAAAUAGUGUUCACUCUAAGUAUGUAAAACCACCCUUUUUCAUAUGUUUACGAAUGGGUUUGUCCCUCUUGCUAAUAAUCACUAAAAUGGGUAUUACAAAUUUAUGAAAGACACGAACUCAACAGUCUCCCAAUAAUACUUAAAUUCUCUUGUAGUAGUUAUAUCUAUCUAAUCUUCAAUUAAAAAGGAAAAAUCUCAGCAAAAUUCCUUAAAAACACAGGUAUAAAACCUUGUUACAAUGUAGGCCAUCAAUCUGAUCUUCUAUUAAUGCAGGUUUUAAUCAUAUUGUUUCACCAACCUUCUGAGCGAAUUAGUCCUUUUUCUUUGCAUAACUAAUCUUGGGAUGUCACAUUUUAUUGCUAUGACUUGGGGCGUUGAUUUAGGAACUCCAAUAGUCAUUAAAUCUAUCCAUGGAGAGCGCCCGCUAAAAAAAUCUGACUGCUUUGCAUAACCUAGUUUGGUUCUACACCUUUCCUCCAGUAGAUUUCCUGACAUAGUAAAAUCUUACUUAUGUACUUGUAAAAUCCGAACCAAGUUUCUGUAUGGUUUAAACAUAAACAUUUGCACACUUAAAUGAAUUCUUUAAAUCCAUGGGUUAAAUUUUGAUAUUAUCAUAAUCCUUUUAGUAUAAUUUCCAAGCAGUUUCUCCAUUUUCGACAAUGACAAACCUAUACCAUUCCUUCAAUAAGAGUGAGUUAUGCACAUAAGUAUGCAAAUUCUGCAGAACUAUUUGACUGUAAAACCAGAGAUGAUUCAUGCAUGCUUCUACAUGCGACAUUUUAAUAGACCAUACAAAUAUGUCUGCAAAACAUAAUAAACUCCCCUUAAUAUGUACACAUAGUGUGAUACUCCCCCUGAGUAUGUGCUUCUCCCGCUUCUUGUUUCUUAAAAAUGCAAUAACAUCAGAUGCCCAGGGAUGAAAACCAUAUAAGCAAAAGCAUUCAUUUAUUUAUAUACAGAAUUGUUCUACAAAGCAUAUUCCGGAAAAAUUAAUAUAAAGGAAAGUGAACAUUAACCAAAAGGAUCACAAACACCGAUUUCAUCCAUCAAGCUAGAACGUAUUGUUAUCAAGAGGUUUAUUCAGAAUUUGAGCGAAUUGCAAAUCGAUGCUAACAAAUCCUUUUCAUUGAUUCAUGUUGUGCUGUGGCUGCCAUAAUUAAAUAAAUAAAUAAAAGAAUCAUAUGAAAGAGUCUCUCUUCUUGAAGUUUGACCUAGUUCAGAGCUCCUCGAAAUGGAAGCCACCCCCGUUAAUUAGAACAACUCAUUGUUGAAAGACUUACCGAUUGCUUAACAAUAUUGCAAUUACAUUUAUUUUCAAAUCCUUACAUUAAGGAUGACACGUCCUUAUAUCUCAAUAAGGGCCAUUGACUUAAAUAAGAAAUUUUAUCCGUUGAAUACUGGAAACACAGAAAUCUGACUAAUAGGAGUCUGAAUUACUGAAACUGCAACAACAAUUGAGUGGAAAUGUAAAAGAGACUUAGGGUUGAUGCCUGAUUAUAUAUCGAAAUACCAUGGGUUUGACAUAUAGACCUCGUUGUCAAAGCCCUGUAUGCUAAUGGAAAUAUGUAUAGGUAUUAGGCGCAUUUUGUGGGCUACUACAUGGUGCACUUGUUUUAUAUUUAAGUUUCAAUGGGUCAGUUUUGUCUAUUGGUAAUAUUUUCCUCCAAUCAUACUUUCAAUUAACAGGUCAAAGAUUAUGGAAAUUAUCAAUAUGCAAAUUUAAUCAAAAUCAAAUACGAGUGACGUUAAUAUUUGUGUGAUCCAUCAAUGAAAGUUAUGGCUAAAAAGAGUUCAUCCAGCUAGAGCAUUUCAUGUGCAAAUAGAGAUAAAAUAAAUUUAGAAUUCUAUCCCUGAACUUUUACAUCAUUGACUACGGUUGCUAACAAGCAUUUUCAUUGCAAAAUUUGACAACAUUUUGGGAUGGCUUUUGGAUUAUCAAUGUUGAUUACAUAAUUAUGUCGUGAUUCAGUUUUAUCAUGUUCAGAUUUAGUUUUCUUACAUUUAUUUGAAUCUAAGUUACUAUUAUUGCACAUGAUCUAAGCUCCAACAAUAUUCUUACAUGACAUUUUUUGCUUGUCAAUCAUGUGACCUUAACGAUGUUGUAAAUUAAAUCGAUUACACGUAAAAUGUUUCAGUCAAUAAUUGACACAGAUAGUAGUAGUGGACCAACUACAUAACAUUAGAUUGGCAGUGCAAAAUCUAAUUUCAAGAGAUCAAUAGCAUAACUGCAGCAAAUAUCAAACUUUAGGACCGUAAAUGAAAUUUCUCGGUGUUAAAAAAUAAUUUUCCUUCUCUUGUCGCCGCCACGGAGAAAAUCUUUGAGCACCGCCACUGGAAAAAAGGAUCGUGGUUUUCUUCCAUCACAAAUUUGAUUGGCGAGUUAUCAAAAUCUGAAGAAUCAUCCUAGAGACCGAUUCAAGGACAGCAGUUGAUCUACUAGUUGGCAAGAUUACAGAGUCGUCGAGGCCAGAUUGGGUGGUGAAAACCAACACAGCCCGUGAAGGCAAAAUGUGCGACGAUUGAUAAGCCAAUGCAGCGUUCUUUUAGAGACCAGAUUUAGUUAUUCACUUAAGUUUAUCUACGGGGCUUCAAUUUGUACUUUUUAGGAGAUAAAAGUGGGUGUUAGGAGGCCGGGACUUGCAUAUGAGAUGUGUUAGAAAUUAAACCAAAUUAACAAAUGUCCUCAAUCGACUACGAGUUGCUGAUGUCAGUGGAGAAGUUACUGAUAUUAAUGGUUGUCAAUGCCGAUAUUCCAGAAUUUGAUACCGAUGAUUUUGUUUGGUGAAUUGAUACAGAUGAUUGUCCGAUGCUAGAGUUAAUUAGAUUAUUUAUUGUAGUGUUGUUUUUGAGAAGUCUGUUCAUAUUUUUAUUUCAUGACUGUUCAUGUUUUUAAGUGUAAUUGAUGUUUUGUAAGUUCUUAGGAUUUUAUCACCUCUGAACAUUAGCUAUAUUUAUAAGUCAUUUAGUUUUUUUUUUUUUUUGUCGGUCCUACUCUAUUCCUACUCUAUCACUCGCUCUCAAACUUUUGUCCUGCCUUCUUAUAGGGCAUAGGAGUUGAAACUCACUCCUGAAACUUAAUCGUCCCUACCCCAACUCUCUUAAGAAGGUGGAGAUUCGAACCCCCCACAUCCCUCUUCCAUGUUGAAAGGAUGGCUACUGGGACAAACUCCAGUAGUUUAUAAGUCAUUUAGUUUAAGAGUUAUGUGUGAAGCGUAUAAAAGUUGAGUCUUGUAAUUGUUUUUGAUAAGGUGAAAAAAAAGGUGAAAUAAACAAAAAGGAUAUCUGUCUCCUUCUCUUUUUUGUGUUGUGUUAGUGAGUGUUUCAGCUUUAAAUUAUCCCAUCAAGAUGUAGCCUGUAUUUGUCUUUUACAAAAACUCGAAAUUUUCUAGUUUUGAUGCCAUAUGAAAUUAUGAAGGAGCACUAUUAGCUAUUAUAGAAGUUUAGAUAAUUAGAUGGAUGCAUUAUUCAAUACUUAAUUGAUAUAACGUCUCUUUCACUACCCAUGCUCCUUUUCAACAGCUAGAUUACUUGCACAGCUUGGGCUCAAUGGAAGGAGAGCCGUCCAUAGAAGUGGAGGAUGGUGGAAUGAACAACUCGAUCGCGGAGGAGGUAAAGAAGGAUGAAAGAGGACCUUUAAUGGAAGUGUCAAAGGAUGAAAGGGAUUCUGUUCAAAAAAAAAAAAAAAAAGGAUGAAAGGGAUUCUGAAGAAGAAAUCUGGAGAGGUCGACGGGAGAUAAUGAAUAAUUUAUUGGCGGCUUCCGCGGGGGCACAAGAUCCGGCAAAAGCUUACGAAUAUGCUCGAAAACUGGUGCGUGUCAUCAAAGGCGGCAAGGUUGACGAGUUCCUUUCCAUGAUCAAAGUAAAUGAUCCAUUGUUGCGAGACAUUGAUUGGUCUGCCGUUUUAAAUUCCCGAUUGGAUUGGAACGACUCACUGCUCCACGUGGCAGCAGCAACCCGGAAGGACGACCUCCUAAGGCUUCUGCUUGAGUAUGUUGGUGACCACCUCAUAACCGCCCAAAAUGAUUGGGGAAAUACCCCACUCCACCGGGUCGCUCUGUCGGCGGGAUCUACUGGAGCUGCAAAGAUGUUGAUUCACCGGGCAAGAGGCCUCCCCAACGUCGAGGACAAGAACCUCUUGCGGAUGAAGAACAAACGUGGAGACACCGCUUUGCACUUGGCCGUGUGGCAUGAACAAGCCGACUUGGUGCGCUAUUUGUUGAGCGAAGAUUUAGAACCCGUGUACUGGAAGAACGCGGGUGAGAAAUCUCCCCUGUACCUAGCCCUCGAGACUGACGACUCCGCAAUACAUGAGGCUUUAUUUUCACUCUCGUUGGAACCAUCAAGGAUAGAAGGCUUGCCGCUCAUUCAUGGUGCCAUUGUACUUGGACGACGCGGUACGUACCUAAAUCUGCUUAUGUGGAAAUAUAUUUAUCUAUUUCUGGACUGACUCGUCCCAAAUCUGUGCAAUAACUUUUUGCUCUUACCAAAACCCCUUACCGGUUUUUACUUAAAAUUCCCUACCCUGCUUGUUAAAGUAGUUGGAUACCCAUCGGUUUAGCCGCAUAAUAAACAAAUUAUUCACAUUAGAGCAUAAUAGAUUGGCUUAAAUAUUACAAAUAAAACCAUUUCACUAGAAACUCAUGUGCUGUCGAUCUUUGAUUAGAGAAGCUAUAAAGUGCAAAUAUUUAAGAUUGAUGACCAUGAAAAUCUGGAAUCUAACAAUGACGCCAUUUUUGAAGCAACGGAGAGCCAUGAACCAAAAUGAACAAAUGAGAGUUUAGGGCAUAAAUUAUAAACUGGUAGCAAACCUAGGCGUGAUUUUUUCAUUGGAAAAAGAGGAGGUGACGGUUCCGUCACUCUUAGCAAAUUGAUGGAACAUCAUAAACCGUUAAUUUGUUUGUGACCAACAAUCAAUAGGUUUUUAAGAAAUUAAAAAAAGUGGAUCUAAAUAAAGAAAGAAAUUUUUGAUUUUUUUUAAAUGAAUACAAUUAUCAUAAUCUUUGUAGAAAAAGCCGAUACCGUAGUCUAGCCUAAAUUACCUUGACCAUUAAAAAUAUUGAGAUAAAAUUCAUCAAGCACGCGAUAAUCAAUUAUGUGGAAUUUUUUGGCUGCUAGCGCCAUGUAUCCCAAGUUUACUACUUGAAAAGCGCAGCUAAUGUUCAUUGAUCAUCAGAUUGGUAGAUGGCAUUCAGGUGUUAUAGUCAUAUCAAGUAGGGAGAAUUGUCCAAAAAGUUUUAAACUUAUUGUACGAUUGUUGAUUCAAUUAUAAACGUGUCAAUUGUGUCAAUUUAAUCUCUAUUUUAGUCCUAAACUUUUUAAAGAUUUGCCAACUUAGUCCUUCUAAUCAAUUUCUACUGGAAAUCGCUGACAUGGCGGUCUAGUCAAAGCUCGCCAUCCUACAUGAUGUUGAUCGCUUAUGUGGCUUUUUUUUACAAUAUAUUUUUUAAUUUUUUGCAUUUUUUUCCUUUUCUUUUUUUUUUAUCAUUUUUUCCCUCUACCAACCUCAGGGGAGAGCCGCCCUCCGAUCCUUGCGUAAAGCAACCCUUGCCCUUGCUCGACCUCCACUAGGCGUCAACUGUUGAUGGUUAGAGAAGGGAAAAAGGAAAAAAUGAAAUUAGAAAAAGAAAAGGAAAAGACAAAGACAAGGGAAAGGAAAGGAAAAAGGAAAAAAAUUAGAAAACUAAAAAAAUUGCAAAAAUUAUCCGCAUUAGCGUUGACUGUGCCGUGUAGGACAGUCAGUACUACUAGACCGCCAUGCCAAUGAUUUCCAACAAAAUUGGCCAGAAUGACUAAAAUGACAAAUUGUUAAAAGAUUUAUAACUAAAUUGGCAAGUUAUUAAAAUUGUUAUGACUAAAUUGGCAUAAUUGAAAUAUUUAAGACUGAAUUAAUCAUCAUACAAUAGAUUCAAGACUAUUUUGACAAUUUUCCCUAUCAACUAUAAUUCCAAUCCUAGAUGCAAUAACUUUAUUUUUAUCCUGUCCCAAUUUAUUAAUCCGAGCACAUGUUAUUAUUUACAUUGCACGACGUAACAUGUUUGAGGCUCUCUAUUUAAACUGAACAUGCAAAACAAUUUCAAAUGGACAUAAAGUGAAAAUGCGUAACAAUGUAUUGUGUGAUGCAAAUAAUAAAUUAGCAUACCCAAUAAAUGUAUGUGUCUAAACUUACGUUGCACUCGUUGAAUAGUUAUAGAAGUCGACCUGCACACAUAACGUUCAUAAUCCAUUUAUAAAUGGCUUAACUUAUUUGUGAUAAUACAAUUAAACCUAAUUCUACCAUAUUUAACCACGUUUCAUGUAGAAGGGCUGUUUCAUAGUUUGUCAGCUCAUAAUUCUAACAAGCACUUUAGAAACUAUACAAAAGAUCCCAUUGAAAUUGGAUUUACUAUAUAUUUCUUAUUCUUAUUGUCCAAUAUAUAAAAAUCCUUUUAUGAAGUACUACUGAUUGAAAUCUCGUAAUAAUAGUUCAGUUUUUUUUCACUGAAUGUAAAAGUAGAUGACAUUGUGGAAUGAAUCGAGCGUUGCCAUGGGCUUUUGUAGAUAGGCACUUUAAUUAGGUUAUCAUGAUAGGCACUUUUUUUAAGGUUCAUAUCAAUUAAAUAAGGUAAGGUUAUUUCUUUAAAUCUAGUAAUAUUCUUUCACUUGGGAAAAUUAUCCAAAAAGUCCUAAACCUAUCGCACUUUUGCCAAUUCAAUCCUAAAUCAUUCAAUUUUGUCAAUUUAGUGCUAAAUUGGAUAUGACUAAACGACAAUUAGAAAAUUCCUAAUUAUCGUUGUUAUAUGACUCAUGAAAUUUGUAUAUGUACUUAACAAUAUUAUUAGAGUAUAUUUUAUAGGAAGUAUUAUAGAAAUGUAAGAAUUUUCAAUAAUUGCUCAUUUGCAGUUUUUGAAACUCAUUAGAACUAAUUUCAAUAAAACUAAUGCCUCUUUUGUUGAACAAAAUUCAUGGUAUAAGAGGCAAACAUAAAUCCUAAUUUGAAGCAAAAUAAACGGAAAGUGGAAGAAAAACACUUUUUGUGAGGAAAAUAAUCAAUCCCUUACAAAUUAGAGCCCUAUAAUUUAGAGACAAUUCUUAAAGAAAAAAUCAUUAUAUAUUUAUGUAGAUGUUCAACAGUCUAGAUUAAUUUGCAAAGUUCACUGAACUUUUAGUAUUAUGGAUGUAAUUUUUAUGGCGGUGAAUUAAGACUCGUUUUGUUUUGUGUUGUGUCAUCACAGCUUAAAUAUGUGGUCGUUAUAGCUACGAUAUAUAUGACUCCAUGCAAUGCAUAUACAAGAUAGAACAUAUAAUGUGAUUUAUUGAGUAAAAAUAUCUUUCCCAGAAUCACUAAAAUUUCACAAAAUAUAUUUGGUCCAUUCACAAGAUAUAAUGGGAUUGAGUAGCACAAUCCCCAAGGAUGAGGUUAUCUCUAAAUCACUCUCGCCUGUCUUUGAAGUCCAAUGGCCACCCACAAUCCUCAAACACCGUUGGAAUAUUCUCAAAACAAUUGAAGCACCUCUCUCACAUUAUUGAACCUCUUUACUAGCACCUCCAAAUUUUCGUAGUUGGGGCCAAUUUUUUUUUGUUUUGGUGGAGCCUUUUCCUUUCUGUAAUUUGUGAUUUAUAAGCUCUACUAUCUUAGAAAUAGAUUCUGGUCACAAAUUUUACUUAGAUUUUACUCACAAGUUUUGGUAAAUACAUAAUCUCUUAAUUGAGCUGAAUAAGUGCCGUAUACCUUUACGAAGAAGAUGACGUUCAAUCUAGAGAGGGUGGAACAAUUUUAAGGGGGAUUUCAGUACGGCGUUGUGUAGGCUAUUGCAAUGUUCUCGACAAUAAGUCUGCUUGAUACUUGCUAGAAUUCGACGGACAUAAUAUGAAAAGAUCAUUUUCCUUUUCUUGAUCUUGACCUAGCUUGCAUUAGUCUGCCGACUCUAUAGAUACUUCAUGUCGUGGAAAUGCCAUAUAAAUUGCUAUGUCAUUUAGUAAGAUUUUCAUAGUGAAAUCUUAAGUUCCUGUCAAUGUCAUUAACUAGUUUUGGUAUUGCAAUCUAAUCUGUUAUUGUCGACUAUCAAUACUAGUAGUGAUUAAGGCACGUCAAAGAUGUCCUUACUCCAAAAUGGGUUUAACUAUAUCGAGACCAACCAAGCUCCAACCAUCCUAAUUUGGAGCUCCUGAUCCCAGAUUUAUUCGACCUGAUACUCACGAAAAACAUGAACCUAUUUGCAAUGACCGACUCCAGCGGGGGCAAUGUAUUCCAUUUAGCAGCUCACCUGAAUCAGGCCUGGGUAUUCGAAUUCUUACGACUAGAAACUAUAUAUUUGACCCGAGCAAGGGACAUGAAUGGAGAUAUCCCUGUUCAUAUUGCGAGCAAGAUGGGUCAUGUUGAACAUAUCAAGAAGCUGAGGAUAGUAUCACUUUCGCUAAAUGGGCAAGGGCAAACCGUUCUUCAUAUCGCCGCAAAAUAUGGGAGAGUCUCUGUAGUGAGAUACAUACUCAGCGAUCCAGAUCUAAAGAUACUGUUAAAUGCACAAGAUAAUGAUGGAAAUACAGCUUUGCACUUGGCUGCGAUGCAUUCGCAGCCCGCUGCUUUGAUUCAUCUUGUGCAGACUAACGGAAUUCAACUCAGCGUUUUCAACAACAAAUGCUUGUUCGCUGUUGACAUUGCUCGACGACGCAAGGCAAAGGGGCAUAAGAUUCGGCAUGUAGGUAACAUGAACAGUCACUAUUUUCUUUAUUAACUUACUGGAGAUUUCGUAGACUAAUGCAUUACUUAAGGCAGACCUUGUAUUCAAAUCAUUAUGUCUCCCAACCAACUAGAUAGUACAAGUAUUGAUCAAAUUUCUAGAAUAGCCGAGACUCCUCUCGGAUAAAUGUUCUGCAAGUCCCUAAUUUAGUCUUGAUAGGAGGUAAUUAAAAUUUGUGAUCAUGAAUUUCUCUGCAGUUAGAAACAAGUAACGUGUCUUUCAUAACACGGUGAUAACAAUUUAUAUAUUUCGUUUAAUUGAGCCUCUGAAUACGGUCAUGAAUAAAAAGGCAGGGUUUGUCAAGGUUGCAUUCUGUUUUUCAUAAAAAGCCAGGGGUCAAUGUGGCAAAUUUGACCGCUCCAAAUGUAACACAAUCUUAUAACAUUAUCAUUUUGUCGACCUAUGAAAUGAUUGCCCGCAUAAAUUCCAUUCAUGCCUCUUUUUUCGUCUAAAACGAACGUGGUAAUUUUGUGCUAAUUCUUCAAAAAGAGCAGAAACUGCAUCUUUAGAAGCAAACGUUUCCAGAGUUCAUUCCGUUAUCAAUAUGGUAUAAGUUUGUUCUUAUUUUCCUUUUUACAUGCUUCCGAUCUCAGCAAUUGGCAUACCUGGCGUUGGCUUGCUCGCUCGCGGGAAAAGAUCCACUUGGAAGCCUAGAGUCAUUCCUAGUUAGAGCGGAAGCUCGAGAUGAAGAGUUAUCAGUAGUCCGCUCGGGCAAAAGCAUGCCGAGCAGGGACAUCAUCAAGGAUUACAUCAAUUCCCGUCUGGUGGUGGCAACGCUUGUGGCCACAGUGACUUUCGCAGCUGGUUUUGCAGUUCCUGGAGGAUUUAACAGCUCGGACACAGCCUCCAAAGAUGACCGGGGCAUGGCUACGAUGCUGGACAAUAGAAUGUUCCAGGCUUUCGCGAUUUGCAACACCAUCGCGAUGUUCUGCUCAGUGAUUGUGGUCGUCAACCUCAUCUGGGCGCAGAUAGUUGAUGUCGACGUGGCAGUCGCUGCAUUCGAGCGCACAACGCUACCACUACAAAUUGCACUCCCGGCGAUGUCCACCGCUUUCUUAACUGGUGUCACCUUGACCAUUGGCAAACUCCCGUGGCUUGCUAACACCAUAUUUUAUUUGGGACUCGUUUUCCUCCUCAUUAUCUCAUUUGCUAAAUUGUUAGAGAAGCCUCUCCUCUUUAAAAUCUGCGGUCGUCCUCUCCCUCAACUAACAUUCUGGCUUAUUCUCGCUUUCAUUUAUUUGUGGAGAGUUGAGACGUACAUUUAUGAUGACAAUGACGCGAAAGAUGACGGAAGGGAGAAGAAGACCUUCGCUAGUCCGCCUGUGGAUGUUGCCGGUGAAUCGAGGACCGAUGACUCGGCGAAAGCAAAAUGUGAGGAUGCUACAUCCUCCAAGUCACUGAUUUGAAUUGAUCAUUCCAUAUUAUCUGUAACAUGUAGUAAUAAUAUAUGUUUUCCUUGGUGAGUGUGACUCACUCUACGGUUGCUUUCCUUUAUGUCAGAUCAAAGGUGAUUGUCAAUGUAUGUAAGCUAAAACCAUGUGUUUCUCUAAUAACUUAUUAGAAUUGUUGGAUAUAAUUCCAUCAAAUUUCAUAUGUUAUUAAAGCAGAGGUUCUAAGUUCAAACAUUUUCAGGUCCUAUUUGCAUCAUCUAUUAUAUGUUCUCAUGUUUCAAUCUUAGAUCAAGUCAAGUUUACGAGUGAAGAUGAGUAUAAAAGUAUUUGAAUUAAACAUCGCAUUCGUCUAAUAAUUUAAAUUUUUAGAAUGAUUAAUUGUACUUUCCCGAAAUUUCAAAGUAAUACACACUUUAUGUAAAUUAAAUGGAUGAAUGGCUCAUUUCAUCCGUUUAUCGCCCUGGAAUCAAAUUGUUAACUUUGAACAUGUGGAAGCUCGUGGGUUUAUGAAAUCACUCGUCUGGAGUGGCCAUGUCCGAUUUACUUCAAACCAGUCCAAUUUGCGGCACUCUCGAGUCACGAAAUCCUAAGCACUCACUUACCUGUCUGGUGUGCAAAGAAAAUAAUUCUCAAAUUCUCAUCGCCUACUCUCUGAGUCAAGAGUUGGGUGAAGAAAACUGGAACAAAAUAAUUCUCUUCACUACUCACAAAAAAAUAGAAUCAAACACCGAACUCAUUUCCAUUUACACCCCUUUCAUUUCCCCACUUCUCCCUCCUAGGCGCCCAAUUUCUGUGCAUGCAAAUGAGUUUUGGUGUUUGAUUCGUGGCGGGGUAUAAUCUUAGUGAGCAGCGGGCGCAGAAGUCUAGUCAAGCGACGUGAUAAAAAGGAAUUGCAAUACGCAACUCACGGAGAAUUGUGGAAAAGUCUGGAUACGUGAUUUUCCUCCUCCGAUCUCUGAUUUUUAUUUCAAAGCUGGUUGGUAUUGACACGUAGAAUAUAACUCCAAAGUGAUUCUGGACCUAUUUAUUCGACAAUGAACGUAGAUAACUACAAAAAUAAGAAGGAUCCCAUUGUACGAAUGUCUAUUGAGUUAUGAACUUUUUAAAUUAGUUGAUUUAAUUUUAAACAUCUUGACAAUUUGUCAAUAUAAUCAUUCCGACCAAUUUUGACCAAAAAUCGUUGAUGUAAACGCCAGCCAUCCUAUGGCACAUGACCAAUAUUGAGGUGGACAAUUUUUGCAAUCUUUAAAAGAAUUUUUCAUUUUUUUCUUUUUUUUUUCAUGUUUUCAUUUUCUUCAUUUUCUUUUCUUAUAUUUUCCUUUUUUCUUUUUCUUAUUCCCCUUCGCCAGCCAUUGGCCGAUCCAUGGCUUCGGUGAUUGAUAGCAAGGGCCCAGAUGCCCUUGCCAGCGAUUAGCAAGGGCUGAUGGAUUUGCUGGGCCACAGACUAAUGGAGGGACAAAGGAAAAAAAAAAAAAAGGAAAGAAAAGAAACUAAAAAGAGGAAAAAAAAAGGUUUUGAAAAAAUUGUAAAAAUUAUCCACAUUAACAUCGGCACCUAGAUCUGGGCGAGGCCAAUCUCGUCAUGGCCUAGCCUAGAUCUGGGUGAAGCCGCCUCGCGCACGGCCCCAGGCCUCCCUCGUGGCCGACGAGGCUCGUCAAAGAAGCAAAAGAAUGAAGAAGAGAAAAAAUUAAAAGGAAAAAUAAAAAAUAUAUAUUCAAAAUUGCCACGUCAACGUACAUCAAUGCUAGCCGACCAAAAUUGUCCAAAUAGAUUGAAUUGGCACAAUCACGAAAAGUUUAGAACUGAAUUGGCAAAAAAAAAAAAGUUUAAAACUGAAUUAACAUAAUUAUAAUAGAUUCAGAACUUUUUCGGUAAUUCAUGUUCCUACACAUGAAGUUCUCCUUGUCGAGCUUGUCGAUCUGGUGCUUCACAUACUUGAAAUGACUAGCUGCAAUUACAUUAUGAAACUCCCUGCUCGAUGAGUAUUGAGUGUACAUACCUUCGGUGAAAUUUAACUUGCUCAAUGCCCCCGGCUCCACCGUCGCCUUGCACCAGCUCCACGCUCUUUAUGAACUGAGGCAGGAGCUUCGGGAUCAGGGUAUUUGACUCGACAAUUAAAGCCUUAAGAAUGCGAGCCGGAGCAAUCGGGCAUGUGAGCUCUUGUGUGAAGCUGGUUGCACCCAUGGCUAUUGGCAAUGAGAAAGAAAUAACCCCAGAGAAGAGUGCUUCUGAGUCCUGUCAAUGCCUCCUAAUUAUGGUUGGAAUUAUGUCAAUAGGUAGGGUUGGUGUGGCAAGAGUCACGCUCGAGGAAAAUAGGAGAGUCAAGGAUUUGCAGCCUAAAGGAAUGGAAAAGAGGAAAUUGAGGUGGUCUCUUUUGUUCUUUUGGUCAUGAAAACGAUUUCGGUCCCUUUCAGAUUCGUGUUGAAAUGUCAAAGUUAUGUUCCAAAAGAUGAACAUUCUCGUGCUCACAUGGGCGGCCAUCCCUUUGAAAUGAUUGUUGUGGAGUUCGAUCUAACAAUUUGCCGAUUAGAUAUUAUAACGAAAUGUCCUUGUUUGGAGAAAAGUGUAUUAAUCAAAUUUUAUCCCGUUUAAUAUGUAGCAAACGAGAAUACUUUAUUAGUUGGUGAUAUCAUGUUAACUUGUCGCGUAAUAUAAACAUCACAUCAUAUACUUCUUCAUUUGUAAUGCCCUAAUGUCACGGUGGAUCUGAUUCAAAUGUAUGGAGUAAGGCCUUUUGAAAUCAUUUUCAUGGGUUGAUUCAAACUUCACUAGCACCGACAGUUUGACUCGGUCAAAAUUGGGUCCGCAAUCGGGGUGUCCCAAGAUCAGCUCGUCGUCUAAGUUUUGGGGGAGGUGGAGGCUGCUGCUUUUCCGUUAUAUCUUGCUUCUCUUUUUCUUUUUUAUCAUUGUCAGUGUUGAAGCAUUUGAUCUCUAAUCCAAUGUCCCCAUCAAAGAGAUAAGAUAGGAUUAGCUUACAUAGAAUUUCAAAUAGCCCAAGCGUUACAAUAAGAUAAGUCCAAAACCUAAACACAUUAACUUUAUUUUCCCAUAGCUUUCUUGACAUAUAAUAAGAAUGUGCUUUUCUUUAAUGAUCAUAUGCAUAACAAUCUCUGAAAGAUUCUACCACAUCCAUAGUUUUAAGUGUUAAUCCAAAUUCGAAACAUAAGUUUGGAUUUAUUCAUUUGUUACUCAUGAAUUCUAUUCUUUUAUGGAAUUUAUUGAAAAUUAGAGAAUCUCAUGAUACCAACAAAAUAUCAAGCUUAUUCAACUUUUAUUUCCUUGAUACGCUAUUUAUGUAGCACAAUUUACAAAAUUCCACAAAAACCAUUUCACCAGAUUCCUGCCACACCUUUUCAUUCUCUUAUUCUCAGCAAAGACAAGAACAGCUACGCUCACCAGCCCCACAAGCUUUACUCCAAACACAGAGGGACCCAAACUCUUCUUCUCUCCUUGUGAAUUUAGCACAACCAGACAUAUUUCACACAGUACCGUGAGCAAUCCAAGAUAGCGAUGAGAUCUACUCAAUAG